UCCGAGCUUUUUUGGAGGCCGAAGAACAAACGUGUUCGACCCGUUCUCGCUUGACGUAUGGGAUCCGUUCGAAGGAUCAGGUUUGGCAAACGCACCCGGUAGAGACGUGGCAGCGUUCACAAACGCUAAAGUGGACUGGAGGGAGACACCUGAGGCGCACGUGUUCAAGGCGGACUUGCCUGGGUUAAAGAAAGAAGAGGUGAAGGUGGAGGUUGAAGAUGGGAACGUACUUCAGAUAAGCGGAGAGAGAAGCAGCGAGAACGAAGAAAAGAGUGACAAGUGGCACCGUGUGGAGAGGUCUAGUGGUAAGUUCAUGAGGAGGUUUAGGCUGCCGGAGAAUGCGAAGAUGGAGGAAGUUAAGGCUUGUAUGGAGAAUGGUGUUUUAUCGGUUAUGGUCCCGAAAAUUCCUGAGAGGAAGCCUGAGGUCAAGUCUAUUGACAUCUCUGGCUAAAGGGAAUGGUCAAGAUGGAAAGUUGAAGACAUAAAUGUGUUGUUGUGUAAUAAAAUGAUGUGCAAGUUUUCUUUCUCCUGUAAUGAUGAACCGCGUUGUAUCAAAGUUAGUGAAUAUUAAUAAAAGAGUAGUUUGAAAUACCUUUUUAUAUAUAAGGUUUGUAGCUGAAUUAUGUAAACAUGAGUCCAUAUCUUAGUCCUAACAAGUUUUAGUCUAGUGAUAAUCACGGUAAUAUCAGCAAAACAUUUAAGGAACUAAGAAACCUUCAGGGAUGACUUUUUGUUGGACUAGGAUUGUUGUGGCUGUGAUUCGCCGAGGACAAGUGUUCGAAGGAUUGGCAUCUGGCUCUCGAGAAGUUCCCGUUUGGUCAGGAUUCUAUCGGCAGAGCAGUCAUGUUCCUGUACAUAUGAAUUGAAACAGCUUAAGAGAUCAUUUUUCUAAAGAGAGUAAAAUGGUUAUAUCCCGAAAAAACAAAGAGGAGAUUUGAACCUCUCCCGAUGAAGCCGACAUUAGAGCAAGAAGAGUGAUAGUUGCUGUUUGGUAAUCCGUCAAAGUCUUGUACGCAGAUUCAUCAAGUUUAUCCUACAAAGUUGAAUUUGACGUCAGACCAAGAUGUGAUACUAAGUGAAAAGACGCUAACUAAUUAUUUUUUUCUACGUUGUAAUACCUUCAAGUGUGAAAUAGCUGCAGCAAUAGCUCGACCAGGGGCUUGUAAAGCUUUGUUGUGAACCUGUCAAAUUUCCAACCAUAACUUGAUAUCCGGAUUUUCAACUUAGGAUGUAUUUUACGCUAACAUGGAAACAUACCUUAAUAUAAAGGAGAGAAACAACUUUAGCGAGAAGUGCAACGGGGUCUGAUUCAGUAGAAACUUGAGAUAUCAAAUCCUGCAAGCACAAGAAAAAACAUCGUCAACAGAUAAAAAGAAGUGAUGAGGUCAUUUUAAUAUGUUGAAACAACAAUAUGUUUUUGGUACACACCUUGCGGUAUGCAUGUAGGAGAGUCCUUUCCAGUUUCUUGUCAAGCUUUUUCAAGACCAAUCCACUGCAAAGAUGAAGAUGACAUUCAGUCGAUCUGGUGAAUAGUAAACAGACAUGCUUCAGAAAUAUCUUGAUAAGUAUGAACUAUAAUACCUUUCCCCUGCCAGCUCUCUGAAGGUGGUCAUGAAAAUGUCUACGCGCUGAAACACACGAAUAAUUCAAUCAAUGGAGUUUAUUUUAUUAUUCACGAGAAGGAAAGAAAAAAGUGAAACAAAAGGCUUUAAAUACUCCCUUUAACAGGGUGAUUAUCAGGAAUAGGUGGAACAGGAAUUUAAAUGUAGUGGUCAGGCCUAAGUAAUCAUAAGAUUCCAUUCUCAACCAGUAGUUCAUAUCAUUUGUUUCAAUCACCGACUCGCAUUCAGAUUCUAACAGAAUUGAAAAACUCUGGCUCUAUGUUCACUAACGAAUAUCUGACCUUCCCUUCCAAUGCCUCAAUUAGGGCAAGGGCCCUUUUCGAUAAUGGACCGUUGAGAUUUUUAGCCUGCCCAAAAGGAAAAGAAAACACGAGAACUUUGAACAUCAGCUAACAUUAUUUUAGAAUAUAAAGUGCAAUAACAAAGUACUUAGUUAAAUUUUUUGUCAUCAAAUUGACUUACAAGGGCCGUUCUUUCAGAAGAAUCAAGCAAAACCGGAUCUUGAGCUUUGGAAUCUUCAACUUCAAUACCAUUCUUCAAUUUGUUGUGGAUGUCCUGUUUUGAUAAUCAAAGCUAAAUUAGUUAAUAAAUUAAGAAAAUGACCUCAGAAAUCUCUAUUUACCUUAUUUUUGACUUACUAAGUCAUGAAGAAGUGUAUCAGCAAUUGUAGCUGCUGUUGUUCUCAGCAGAUGCCUAUGUAAAACAACCUAGGACCAGAAGAAAAUAAAUUGUUACACUAUAUUCUUUAGUUAGCAAGUGCCGCUUGCAAAAUGAACUGAAAGUACUUACUGAAGUCGAUUGGUCAUCUUCAAACAGUUCUAGCGCUUUUUCGUACAGCUGCAUAUUUAGGAAGGACUGCCAAAAGGAAAGCCAAUAAAAUGAGAAUCGCAGGAAAGACAUUGAUUGUCUAACAAAAGAUAAAGCUAUAGUUGAAGCAGUUAGUGUCAACCUCAUCAAGCUUUUUCUGAAGAUCAUCCAUCAAGCGCUUCAAUCUAUCUGCAUUUUCUGUGAAGACUUUCUUUCUUCUCUCCUUUAGUGAAUUAAUGAGCAUAGGUCUCAUAUGAUCAGCUAAAUGCUUAAGAACUGAAUCUGGGUUCUCCAAACCUGCCAGAAACCACAUAGCUUCUGUCACAUGAGCGAUCGCUAGAUUAUUUUUUAUGCAUACAUAAGAAAGACUUUCUCAGAUGUACCUUCGUCUUCAAAUUCAGGCACAGAGUCGACGAUCUUUUUCAUCACCCAUUCCUCUGGCGGAAUAACGUUAUUACCUUCUUGCGCCUUAAGGGACUCUUUCUUGCCUCCUGCUUUCGAAUCUAACUUCUGAGACGACGAUAUAUCCCUGCCUUUCUUAUGGUUUCUCUUAGAUUUAGGACGAGCUUCCUCUUCAUCAUCUGGAACAGUCUCAACGGUUGCUGUCUUCAUGCUGACAGACUUCCCUUUUUUCUUCUUUGAUCCUCUGUCCGUAUUAGCAGGUAUACUUUCUGUCGACUCUGAAGAUUUGCUUGAAGGAACUACCAAACUAGCAGUAGAAGCUUGGAUGCUGAAAGCUUCUGCCUCUUUCUCAAUUUGAUCAUAUAUGCCCUAAAAAUUAGUAAGUCAAACUAAGACAUAGUCCAUAUAGAGAAAAGCAAACGGGAGAGACAAACAGCUCGCAAGGAAACUACUAAUGAUAUUCUUUAUUUAAUAUGUUUACCUUAAUGAACCCACUGCUUAGGACAUAGGAUUCACCCAAUAUAAGUGCUUUCUCAGCCUGGAAGGGAAAAGGAAUCAGCAAUUAAUAGCAAAAGAGCAUUGACUGGUUAUCACAUUUGAUCAAAAUCCCACCUUGAGAGCUGAUUGGACGGAGGGACAAAGAAGCAACAUCUUGUUUGCAUCCUGUGACGUGAAUGAUGCAGGCAAUACAGUGAGGGAAUCGAUCCUGAACCGAGGAUCAAGAAUUUUAGUUUAAUUUUAGUUCUUUUCCGCAACCAACCGAUGAAUAAAUUAACUCGUCGUACAUAAGGACAUUUUAGAAAAAAUGGUGAGCAAACCUGUGAAAAAAAAGAGUCUACACAUUCCUUUUGAGCAAUUGCAAAUACCUGCCACCAAAAUAAAACUGCUGAGUUAAUCUGAUGAAUUUUAACUGAACAUAGGAAAUAGAAAGCAUGGAAAAUGCAUUAGAUGCCAGAAACCUAAAAAAAAAACAAGAUUUUUAAUAACAUACACUAGGAGUCCAAUGGGUGCCAGCACGAAGUGAUCCAAGCAUCUCCUCUUCCUUCAACAGUCGGUUAAAUAUAGACUGGAAAACGAAUUCUCAAUAGGGACUCCACUAGCUCCAUUCAUUUCUUGUACCAACUGUUGCAAUGGCGUCCACAAUGCCGACAAAUUGGAAGGAACAAAGAUACCCCUGGAAGCACCUCUAACCAUAGCAGUCACACGUGCUACAUAAGCAGGUGUAUAUAACUGUCCACCUUCUAGCCUUGCUUUCACCUAAGAAAGAUAAAAAAAAACAUCUACAUAUAUCAUAGCUCCUCAUUCACUUAAACAAUGUGGAGAGCUUAUUAUAGGAGAAGCAACCAUUACCAAAGUUCCAAGUCGAGGCUCUAAAACGGAUUGUACCAACUCAGAGCCAACCUGUAACUGACCAGCAAGCUCAGCCACAGAAACUUGGCUGCACUCUUGGAGCCUCUCGUUUAUUUCUUCUGCAAUCGAGUCCCAAUAUGUUUGCGAUAUUAUCUCUCCCUGGACAAGCAUUAGCCCUGGAUCACUCGAGACCACAUCUUGUGCUUGCUUCUCCACAUGAUACAAAUCAACUCCAAUCGUAUCUGCGAGAUCAAUGACAGAGACACGGCCUAAUUUACUGAUCUCGCUCGCAAAUUCAUUCCUCAAUUGCUCCUGCGAACCAAUCAAAAGACAAACAGUAUUACAGAAAACGCUAAAAGCUCGAUCAAGCAAAUUUGAAUUCAUUUUCCGAUCAACCUCCUCAUGCAACAAGCAGAUUUAUCCGUAUUUCGCACCAUUUACACAGUACAGAAUGCGAAACCUUGUGAUGAUUCUUCUGGAGUGUAUUCACAACGGCUUUUGCUUACGAAACAAGAGAGAAAGCGAAAUAGAAUCGGUACCUGAGUGAUGUAUUCCUUUCCUGUGACGGUGUGAAGAAGAUCGAAGUCUAUGACGCCAAGCUCUUGUAGCUUCUGAACCAAUUCGACGACAUUUCGAUCCGAUAAUCUGACGCUUGACUUCACCUGCUGAGCGAACUCGAACUGGCGCUGCAAUUCCAACAAUUCUUCAUCCAUCUUCCUCGAGAUAUCGCCGGAAAUUUAGAACAAAUUUGAUAUCGUCGAUGCAAGGAAUCGGUAGGAUUUUUCCGUCAGUUACUCGAGAUUUUCUCGGCAAGAUUUGAUUAGGUUCAAACUCCGGAUUAUCUUUCCCCAGAAUGUUUUACAAAUUAAACCAAUGUUCUUAAAAACCGGACCGGCCGGUUAUCGGUACAAGAUAAAAACAAACACUUUAAUUGAUUUGAAACUUAACCAUAAACCCUAAUUCUUCAGGACGUUCUUUUUCUUCUUUCCUCUGGUUAGUCCGUGGAGGACUGCAAAUCGCCGGCUCUUAUCUUCAGUUCUUCAUUUAAAUUGAGGUGAAAAUCAUUUAAUCGUCACUUAGUUUCUGUUGGUUAGUCUUCUGAUAAGGAAUCGUUUCUUCUUCUAGCUUAGUUCUGUGUAAAUUCGUGUUCUAUCUCUGCUUCUUUUCUUUUAAUGCUGUGAACUUUGAACAGAGUAGGAGAUAAAUAACGAGUAUUUUAGAACUGAAAGAAGGAGUUUUUGCUUCAAUAAACAAAAAGCCUACACAGAAUGUUGGUCAGAACGAUGUAGACCAUGAAUUUUUUUUUUGUUGAGCUUGAAACAGGUUCUUAAUCCAUCGUUUUCAGUUCUACGUUAGAGUUAGAGAAAUAUGAUCUGCUAUUCUGUUUCUGUAUCUUUUUCGGUUCUGUGUAUUUGGUUUUUACUUUCUGUUUUCUCAGUGGUAGAAUUCAGAAAUUUGGCAACUUUAAUUUAGGAAGAGAGACACUUACUAAAACUCUGUUGUGUAGAGAAGUAUUUAGAGCUAUGGAGAUCGACAGAGAAGAUGGCAGAACGCCUAAUCAACUGAGACCUCUUGCUUGUUCUCGUAACAUUCUUCAUCGUCCUCAUGGCUCUGCUAGCUGGUCGCAAGGUACUUGUUUUAGUCUCCAUCUUUCUUUUUGUUAAAUUACAUAUAAUCUAGCUUUCUACUCCUUUUCGAAUGGGAUUCAUGGAACUUUCUAAUGGGUAUGCUUCUCGUUUAUAUAUUAGGGGAUACAAAAGUCCUAGCUGCAGUUUAUGGACCUAAAGCAGGAACGAAGAAGAACGAGAACCCUGAGAAGGCUUGCUUUGAACUCAUAUGGAAACCUAAAUCCGGGCAGAUAGGUAUUAUAAAUGCAUUUAGUUUGAUCAUGCUGUUGUAGGUGGUUCUUGAUUUCAUCGGGAAAGACUUAGUGUCUCUGACUGAUUUUAACUGUGUAAUUUUAGGAAAAGCCGAAAAGGAGUAUGAGAUGAUACUAAAAAGGACAAUACAGAGUAUUUGUGUUUUGACUGUAAAUCCAAAUACCACCACAUCAGUGAUAAUCCAGGUGAGUAACCCAUCAUAAUGCCUUUGUCUUUCUAAUAGUGUCCUGUCUUGUAGAAUCUCAUUUCAUCAAUUUGAGUUGUAUGUCUGAUUCUGAUGUUUUUCAUUUUUGCUUGCCGUGUAGGUUGUACAUGAUGAUGGUUCUGUAUCCUUUUUAAGAUGCCCAGUAACCAUUUACUGAUGUUUUCUCAAGCACAUUCAAUCCGGUUGAGCAUUUAUAAAGAGUAGUGAACGCUUGUAAAUCCUAGCUCUGGAAUAAUGAAUAUGUUUUAGUGAGAUACAUAUUCAUUUAUUUUCAAUAUGGUGCAUUGAUUUAAAAGACAGCUUUGGUUUGCUUGUUCCUUAAUUCAUUUUGUGUAGCUUUUACCGUGUGCUAUAAACGCAGCAUGUGCAGCUCUUGUAGACGCAGGAAUACCUAUGAAGCAUCUCGCUGGUAGAUAUAUAUAUAUAUAGUUGCAACUUAUGCUCCUCUAAUUCACUUUCUUUGCUUCUUCUAAUUGCUUCAUCGGCGUUUUAAUUUGUCAGUUGCUAUAUGUUGUUGCCUGGCUGAUAAUGGAUAUGUCGUACUCGAUCCAAACAAGCUUGAAGAAAAGGUUUAAUUAAAAAGACCUUGUUGUCCAUUACUGUUAUCAUUUUUUCGUUUCUCGGUAUUGUUUAUACUUACUUGAACUACAAUGGACAGAAAAUGACGGCUUUCGCUUAUUUAGUCUUCCCAAAUACAACUCUCUCUGUGCUCCCGGAAGGAUCAUCAGAAGGCGAGCCUGUAGAGCAUGGGCUCAUUACAUCAGUUACCUAUGGAGUAAUGUCAGGUAUUGCUAUAACUUCUCUUUCUUAAUUAAACUCAGGAUGCUACAUUAUAUGUGGUCUGUUGUGUUCAUACAUUUCUUUUGUUUGAGUAAUGUCGUUUUAAGAAGUUUUGUUUCUCAACCGCGCCUUUGUUUUGUUUUUGUUUUUGUUUCAGUGGAUGAUUAUUUCCUGUGUGUAGAGAACGGUCGUGCUGCUACGGCUAGUCUAUCUGCAUUUAUUAGGAAGAACUUCCAACAAGGACAAAGAGAUUCAUCCAAAUCCGGUUAAAAAAGCAUGAAUGGUUUACAUGACAUUUUUGAACGGUUUAAUAUCAUCCCUGUUGUAGCUUUCUAAUCAAAAUCAAAUGCAAGAAUGUCUCGUAUGAUUAGAUGCUUAUGCACACAUGAACCUCUAAUAAUGCUGCAAAUUUAUUAUUAACUAAGGAAUUUAGUAAUGACAAUACAAACAACUCGUCGCUAAACAAUCAUACUAGAUUCUCAAAUAGCAAAUGAGCUAUUGAAUUCACUUAUCCACAUACCACACAUAUGGUGAUUAUUUGCAAGCCAUAAGACGACUUACAAUAAGUUUCAAGUUCAUUACUCUUAGGUCGAUGUUAAAAGCGUUUCAUCAGUGUUCUUGAGACGUUGAAGCAUCAGCUCGUAGAGCGCAAAACCGCCAUGGUGGCAACCUGGCAUUCUUGAUGUCAUCGUCUUCAGCUCGUCCUGAUCGAUUAUUAUAAAGAGAAGCUACAUUUACUCAAUGAUGGGAUCAUAGCAUUUUAGAGAGUAAAACAUGUAUGUUGAAGGGUUAAAAACUAAACCAUAGAGCCAGUGUGGAGCUGUGUUGACUCAAACCCAUCUUCAGCAAUAGAGUAUAAUCUUGGUAUCUCAUCUGAAUGAUGACUACACUUGAUAAAGAAAAACAUAGCUGGUCUCACAUUUAGCUCCCUCCGAGAUAUUCCGAUGAAGAGAGGAGAGCUCUGUGAUUGUAAAACACCGAUCAGGAUUUAGAUGUCUCUAGGGAUCCUAAGUAAGAAUAAAAGAAAAACCCUCUCUGACUUACAAGAGAUGAUGCUGGUAUUCCAGUUUCUUCGACAACUUCAUUGAUAAUGCUAUCAAACAUUUCUUGAGCUACCUUCUUGUUUAAAAGCUCACUGGUUUCACCAUCUUUCUCAAGCUGAUGAGAAUCAUCGAUACCUACUGCUAUUGGCUGCAAUGUUAAAAUUCAUCAACCAUGCACAAAAGAGUUAGAAAAGAGACGAUAUGAUGCUGCUUAAUGUGAAUACCUCUGGAUGGCCUCCAGGGAAUACGUAGUGACCUGGAAAUUCCCCGACGUUAUCACUCCGGCGUAACACAAUAAUCUUUUUGUCAGAAGUCUCGAUCACUGCACCAUUACCCAGUGGACUUGAUGUAUGUCGACAUCUUACAGAGUCAUCUGUUGGGAGAACAAAACUAUGGCGAUUAAGAAACCUGGUCAAAUCACCUGGAAGCUCUCCAGUUUCCCAACACAAAACUAGACAAUGAUCACAAAAAGUUUCUCGGAGGUUGGUAUUUGUGUGUACCUUCUGAUGUAACAAGGAACCUCUCCCACAGAGAACUCAAAUUCGUUCCUACAAAAGUCCUAGGAAACCAUGUCCGUGAUCAAUUACUCUCUUCAUGUAUACCAGGAAUCGACAAAUUAGAGUUCCUUCUGAUCCUAUGCAAAAAAUGACAAAGAGAGAUAAAUGAGUAACCUGUAAUCUGUCAGUCCAAGGCGAAGGCAGACGUGUGGUACUUCAUCGCCAUCACCAUCACCAUCUAAACAAUAUGAUCCAGACUGAACAUUUUUAAACAAAUUUUAGUGGAAAUUUGAUUACAUUGAAUGAAGUAGCUACUUUGAUUAGUGACCCAAGUACGAAACAACUUCAAAGACAAUACAUCUCGUGCAUUAAUUCUCAUCAUCUUUUUUUUGAUCCUUGCAAUUUCGAAACUCAAAUUAAUAUAACAUGAAACGCUAGGCAAAAAGUAUAUUGCAUACUCUGAAUUUUUGGCCAUUGAACAAUGAUGAAUUCCCCUGUGUUCUCUCCUCCCAAACCUAAUUUGCCAAGAACACGCAUCAGUUUCCCUCAUCAAAAGCUCGUACAUAUCUAGAGAAACAGGAGGUACGGAUAAAUUUGGAUACGAAGAAACGGCAACAUUCAAACUAUGAAAUGAAAAGUGAGAACCGAUAAUCGCCAUUUCAUUAGAGAUUUCAACAAUUUCGAUCCAGCAUUGUUGAAUUAUCGAAUCAGAAAACCAAACACAAGCUGUAGAUACUCGAUUUGGUUCUCUCACCAGCGAGAUAGAAUCCUCGAGACCAGGAUCGNNNNNNNNNNNNNNNNNNNNNNNNNNNNNNNNNNNNNNNNNNNNNNNNNNNNNNNNNNNNNNNNNNNNNNNNNNNNNNNNNNNNNNNNNNNNNNNNNNNNNNNNNNNNNNNNNNNNNNNNNNNNNNNNNNNNNNNNNNNNNNNNNNNNNNNNNNNNNNNNNNNNNNNNNNNNNNNNNNNNNNNNNNNNNNNNNNNNNNNNNNNNNNNNNNNNNNNNNNNNNNNNNNNNNNNNNNNNNNNNNNNNNNNNNNNNNNNNNNNNNNNNNNNNNNNNNNNNNNNNNNNNNNNNNNNNNNNNNNNNNNNNNNNNNNNNNNNNNNNNNNNNNNNNNNNNNNNNNNNNNNNNNNNNNNNNNNNNNNNNNNNNNNNNNNNNNNNNNNNNNNNNNNNNNNNNNNNNNNNNNNNNNNNNNNNNNNNNNNNNNNNNNNNNNNNNNNNNNNNNNNNNNNNNNNNNNNNNNNNNNNNNNNNNNNNNNNNNNNNNNNNNNNNNNNNNNNNNNNNNNNNNNNNNNNNNNNNNNNNNNNNNNNNNNNNNNNNNNNNNNNNNNNNNNNNNNNNNNNNNNNNNNNNNNNNNNNNNNNNNNNNNNNNNNNNNNNNNNNNNNNNNNNNNNNNNNNNNNNNNNNNNNNNNNNNNNNNNNNNNNNNNNNNNNNNNNNNNNNNNNNNNNNNNNNNNNNNNNNNNNNNNNNNNNNNNNNNNNNNNNNNNNNNNNNNNNNNNNNNNNNNNNNNNNNNNNNNNNNNNNNNNGCGUAUGAGUGUGCGUGAGCGUGUGCGUGUGCGUGUGCGUGUGCGUGUGCGUGUGCGUGUGCGUGUGCGUGUGCGUGUGCGUAUGCGAAUGCGAGUGCGUGAGAGAGUGCAAGUGCGUGUGCGUGUGCGUGUGCGUGUGCGUGUGCGUGUGCGUGUGCGUGUGCGAGUGCGUGUGCGUGUGCGUGUGCGUGUGCGUGUGCGUGUGCGUGUGCGUGUGCGUGUGCGUGUGCGUGUGCGUGUGCGUGUGCGUGUGCGUGUGCGUGUGCGUGUGCGUGUGCGUGUGCGUGUGCGUGUGCGUGUGCGUGUGCGUGUGCGUGUGCGUGUGCGUGUGCGUAUGUGUGUGCGUGUGCGUGUGCGUGUGCGUGUGCGUGUGCGUGUGCGUGUGCGUGUGCGUGUGCGUGUGCGUGUGCGUGUGCGUGUGCGUGUGCGUGUGCGUGUGCGUGUGCGUGUGCGUGUGCGUGUGCGUGUGCGUGUGCGUGUGCGUGUGCGUAUGCGUGUGCGUAUGCGUGUGCGUGUGCGUGUGCGUGUGCGUAUGCGUGUGCGUGUGCGUGUGCGUGUGCGCGUGUGCGUGUGUGUGUUCAGAAGCCAUACCGGCUUCGAUUAACGGAGAUGAGAGAAAACCUGAGAUAGAGAAAAGCCAGAAGGACAUGACAGAAGAAGUCGGUAUCGUGAUGCUUCGGGGAUCAUCACUUGUGCUAUUUUGGCCAUGGAAGAAGAAGCUCCUGCGAACCAUGGACGCACAAAUGACAAAGCUAUGGGAGAGAAAUUGCGUCUCGGACGUCGUCAGAUGCCGGAGUAAUGUGUGUGGGUCGAGAGACACAAUGGGCCGAAUCAAAAUCCUAUUUUUUCUUUAUUAUUAUAUAUAAAAUCCAAAAUUACAUAAAAUAAUACAUAAACAAAUUUUGAAAAACAAGAAAAAUUAAACAAAUAUGAGAUGCUUUACAAAGAAAAGUUUUCUCAUUUUCAUAUUCGUAUCUCUAAUAUAUUAAAGUGGAAGCACUAUUGGAUACUUGGCAACUCUACGAUUAAAGUUGAUAUUUAGCUAAAUUAUUAAUUCUUUUAAUUUUAAUUCUUCUACUAUCUCUAUUGCCAAAUACUAAAAUAUUUUCUAUAACACAUUUAUCUGCAAUAAUUUUUUUUAAAAACGUGUUAUUCAUAUAUUUUUUUAUUAACUGCAUAUUUCCAUUUAUAAUUUUAUCAACUAUUAACUCUCCACUGAACUGUUUGAAAAAUAUUUAUUUUCAUAUUAUUUAUAUAUUUUCUCAUUAAUUAUUAUUUAUAUAUAUUGAAUGAAAAUAAUUUACAAUAAACAUUUAAAAAAGAAUAUAAGCAUUAUAAUUACGUUAUUCAUUAUUCAAAAGAGAAUAAGCAUUCAUAUAUUAGUUAAUGAUUUAGCUAAUUCGUUUAUAAGCAUCGACAAUUCCAAGUUUUAAAAUAUUUCUAAUAUAUUAAAGUGGAAGCACUAUUAGACACUUGGCUGCUCUACCAUUAAAGUUGGUAUUUAGCUACAUUAUUAAUUUUUUUAAUUUUAAUUCUCCUACUAUCUCUUUUGCCAAACACUAAAAUAUUUCCUAAAACAUAUUUAUCUACAAUAAAUUUUACAAAAACACGUUCUUCAUAUAUUUUCUUAUUGACUGCAUAUUUAAAUUCAUAAUUUUAUCAACCAUUAACUCUCCAUUUAGCUAUUUGAAAAAUAUUUAUUUUUGUAUUAUUUAUAUAUUUUCUCAUUAACUAUUAUUUAUACAUGUUGAAUGGACAUAAUUUACAAUAAACAUUUGCAAAAGAGUAUAAGCAUUAUAGUUAUGUUAUUCAUUAUUCAAAAGAGUAUAAGCAUUCAUAUAUUAGUUAAUCAUUUAGCUAAUUCGUUUAUAAGUAUCAAAAAUUCCAAAAUUUAAAACGUAUUUAAUUUAAUAUCAUUUUUUUAAAAAUGAGACGGUAUUGAUUACUCAUUUUAAAAAAUCUUAGUCAAAUCUAUUCUCACUCAAAAUCUAUAACAAUAAUUUAAACUUGAAACGGAUAAAGUAAGUACAUAUAUUUUCGCAUAUUCUACAUUGAAAACAUUGUUCCUAUAUUUUCUAUACAUAUAUAUUUUCCUUGGGGAAUAUUUUUAAACAAUAACUAAACAUCCAUAUGAGUAACUCAAAUUGCGGAAGAUAUAUAUUUAUUCCUAAGCUAUAUAUAUGCGAGAUCCUUGGAUUACAUUAACAAGAAUAAAUUUCUAAAUUUGAAAUAUUUACCCUAGCGAUGUCAUUUUCUGAAUACCGUAUAUAUAUAGAUAUACGUUUCUCCAAUAUUUCCUUAUCCCUCACAUUUCAAUACAUUUCUGAAUCUCAAAUUCUCAUCUUGCUAUUAUGUCUUCUUUCACCGAUCUCUACUCCGUGAAGCUCUUCAAAACUCAAUGGAGAGUUUAUGUGAAGAUAUUGAAGGUGUGGAAACAAUACUUGAAUGGUGUAGAGAGGUUGGAAAUGAUUGUUGUUGAUGAGAAGGUUAUCUAUGCUACUUUAAAGCAUUUCUACUAAUCUAUAUAUUUUACCACUGUCCUCAUUUUACUUUUCAGUUUCCUACAAACCUACGUGGAUCUUUAAAGCAUUAAUAUUCUUUUUAUAUAUACACAGAAUCAAACCAUGCAUGUAACUUUGAAGAAGGAUUUCAUCAAGAAAAAUGAAAAUCUGUUAGAGGAAGGUGCCUCUAGAAUUAUCACAAAUUUUCUGGUUGCUCAUAAUGAUGGUAAGUUCAAGACCAAUCCUCACGUUUACAAAAUCUUUUUCGCAUCAACAACAUCUGUCAAACCGGCAGAAGAAAUGGAUCCAAGAAUCCUAGGUUUCAAGUUCGUCAAAUUUAGUGAUAUUCACGAAGGCAAAAUGAAUCUAGAUUUCUUGAUAGGCAAGUUUGUUUAAUUACUAAAUUAUAUAUUGGAUAUAUAGUUUGUGUGUGUUAUUCCAGAGUACUAACAUGUUUUUUUAAACCUCAGAUGCUAUUGGGAAAAUUGUGAGCAUUGGGGAUGUGGAGAUCUUGAAUGUUGGAAAGAGACAGACAAAGAAGCUUUCUAUGGAGAUCCGUGAUACAGAGUUAGCAUUUACAUUACUUAUCUAUCACGACUGCUCUAAAUCCUUACUAAUUGUGUUUACUAUCAUUUUUUCCUCAUUUUAUUUAUCAUUUUCAAUGUAAAAAUGUUCGACUUAAUUGUGUUCUUUGGGGACACUUUGCUGAAAAUCUUGAAAGUGUGGCUCAAAAUGCAAAUGAUGUUGUGAUCGUUGCUGUUUUACGGUUUGGAAAGUUAAUACUUUAUCAAGGUGCUUGGAGUGUUGGCAAUUGCUACAACUGUUCGAUGGUCAUUACUGAUCCAGUGUUUCCAGAGAGUUUGGCUUUUAAAGAGAGGUAAAACUACUUAUUCCCAUGUUUUUAUUUAUUACUUAAAGUUUCUAUUCUGAUAACUAUGUAAUAUAAUCUAUACAGAUUGCCAAAGGAUAGUUUAACCCUGACCUAUACCCAUCCAAAUCAGUUGACUAUUGUCAAUUCAGUAUCAGUAAUGGACGAUUUCUUCUUGCAUAGUCCUCAAAGGACUAUUAGUGAGAUUAUUGCUGCUUCUGAGGUAAUUAUAUAUUAUGUCAGUUCAAUUUAUAUAACCUAUUUUUUAUUUUAAUAUCAUUAUGCACUUUCAAAGGUUGUCAAAUGUGUUACCAUGGCCACAAUUAUGUCUAUAGACACUGCAUUUGGUUGGUAUUACAUGUCAUGCGGAGCCUGUGCUAAAAAGGUUCUCCCUCAUGAUAUGGAUUACUUAAAACUUAAAAGAACUGCAUCCUGGGAAAACUUUUAAGAAACAAUUGUAGCAGUGCAAAAAAUGCAAUGAGGAUGUUGAGAAUGUUUAUCCAUUGUAAGUCUGUUCUUGUUUUUGUGCUAUACUAAUGUUUUCACAUCUAAUUAAUUUUAACUUAUCCUAUUUCAAAUGAUGAUAGGUUCAUGUUGACAUUCAGUGUCAUGGAUAAUACUGGUGAAACCAAAUUUCUCUUAUUUGAUCAAGAGGCAAAGGAAGUUGUCAACCAAACUGGUGCUCAGUUAACUCAGUCUGUUAAUGAGGUUCAUAUUUCUACUGCAUGUUUCCAUAACCGUUUCUGACUUAGUCUAUUUAAAUUUUAUUAAAAUACUCUUUGUUUAGAUUUAGGAUCCAGAUGUUUUGCCCUUGGCUUUGAGCAAUAUUUGUGGUAAAAUGUUUCUCUUCAAGAUUGCAAUUGCAUGUUCAAAUAUUGUUUUCAAUAGUGACACAUACAAGGUCAUCGAUAUAUUUAGACAAAGUAAUGUGGUUAAGGAGUUUUCUGAAAUCUCUACUCCUCAGGUACAGUUAUAUCAUUUUGUUAUCACAAAUUGUUUAAAAACUACUUCUUUAUUUUUUAAUACAUUACUUUUACUUUUCGUAGAGCACUCCAAGUAUCAAGAUAGAGGAAAAAGCUCACAAUACGCUUGAUAAAAAUGUCUAAUUCUAAAUUAUAUUUUCUUAUAUUCAUGUGUAAAAUUCUAUAAUAGUUUUGUUCUUACAGAUUAAUUAAUAUGUUAUAGGUUCCUCUAAUGAUUAUGGAUGAUGAUGAUGCUGAAAUUACACCUACUUUUAAACGCAAAAGUGAUAACAUCUGAUUUUGACAACUUUUAUGGAUCAAUUUCAGUAUCUUAUGCAGGUGUUUUUACUCAGUUUUAAAAGUUUUAUAAGUGUUUUCCAUGUUUUGGAGUUUUAAAAGGCUUUUCAGGAAACUUUGGACUUUGGAGUGCAUUUUAGAGCAAAAGUAUAUUUUUGGAUAAAUUCAGACCGACAGACGUUUGGCAACCAAUGAAAACCUUUUCACUGUCUGAUCAUCCUCAAAUUUGGAGACAUUAUAGAGGAGACAACCAGAUUUCCAACACACUUGGAAUGAAAGCAAUCCAAUGGUUAGAUCUCCAGAUAUCAUCAAUGCACUGAAGGUCGAUCAACACAAACCCAGUCAAGCACAAGUGUUUUGAGUUAUAACUUAACAGAAUUUCAACAAACAUAGCUUACAAUUGUAAUUUCUUUUAGGUUUAUGUUCAUGAUUACAUUGUGUUUUAUUUUAAAUGAAACGAGAGUUUCUGCCGUUUUUCACAAAAAGUUUGUAAUUGUAAAUGUAAAUGGAAGAAUAAACCAUUUGUGUUUAUGAUUUGCAAAAAAAGAAAAAACAAAAGUGAUAGAUCAAAAUGAAAAUUUCCAAUUUGUUUUUUGGGAUCUUUUAGUACCUAAACACGAACAUUUUUUGUGUGUGCAAAGCUAACUUAUUCAUUCAUUUAAACUACGCGAUUACAGCGGUAAGAAAGAGUUAUCGAAAUACCCAAACAUGAACAUAUAUGCCAAAUUUGAACAACAAUCGACGCCAUAAUCUGAUUAACCAUAAAAUUUGUAAAUUGCCCCGGAGCUUGAUCAUAUACUGUACAAGAUUUAAACAUAUCUCACUAAUAGCUCUCAUGUAUGGUAUUUAAGACUAACUUUCUAUUUUNNNNNNNNNNNNNNNNNNNNNNNNNNNNNNNNNNNNNNNNNNNNNNNNNNNNNNNNNNNNNNNNNNNNNNNNNNNNNNNNNNNNNNNNNNNNNNNNNNNNNNNNNNNNNNNNNNNNNNNNNNNNNNNNNNNNNNNNNNNNNNNNNNNNNNNNNNNNNNNNNNNNNNNNNNNNNNNNNNNNNNNNNNNNNNNNNNNNNNNNNNNNNNNNNNNNNNNNNNNNNNNNNNNNNNNNNNNNNNNNNNNNNNNNNNNNNNNNNNNNNNNNNNNNNNNNNNNNNNNNNNNNNNNNNNNNNNNNNNNNNNNNNNNNNNNNNNNNNNNNNNNNNNNNNNNNNNNNNNNNNNNNNNNNNNNNNNNNNNAGAGGGAAGGCACGAUUUAUUUAGGUGGGUCAACCAAUGAAGAAAAGAAAAGUAAUCUGCCAAUAAUAAUCGGUGUUGUAAUCGCCGUAGCGUUUGUUCUUAUUAUCGCAUAUGUGUUCAUUGCUAUUUUCUUGGCAAAUCGUCGCAGAGCUAGGCUGCAAGUGUUGGCAUUGCCUACGUCCACAGGUAUAUACAUUGAGCCUCUUUAUGUGUUUUGUGUAAUUUAUGUAUAUAGUGAUUAUAUUUGAUUCAUUUAAUCUAAAGAUAUAUGAAACUAAUUUGGUCUUGACUAAUCUCUAUGUAAUCUAAAGAUGUGACAUUUUAUAUGUUUAACGACAGUGACUAAUUUGGGGACCGGAGCAUCCCCUCUAUACGGACAACAGAUGGGCAACGAUUCAAAAAAGCCUACAAAUGAUGCGGACAUAGGAGAAAUCGGCGACAUAAUUGGAGUGAACCAAUCAUAUGUAGCGCAGUGACACUGAACAUCAUGUGAAAUAUAUGUUUUGCUUUCCAUUAUAUGUGUUUCCAAUUAUUUUUUUUCGGUUUCAAUUUGCAAAUUUUUUCAUUCUUCUAGUCGUCAAUCUUGUUGUCGAUUAAUUAUUUCGGUUAAGACUUGAGAGAUAAACAAUAUUUUUACUUUUAUCUAUAAAAAAAUUCAUUGGUCAAAUGGCCAUUGGUUUUUGAUAUUGUGUUGGACGCAUCUAGCUUUUCGUUAGAGCAUGGAUUUCAGUUUAGAUCGGAUCGUCAACUAACCGAUCAAAUUACAUUUAAUAACUGCCGAGCAAUUCGUUAUUUGUCGAACUUCUUAUCUAUUAUUAUUACCCCUAUGCAUAAGUGCAUAACCGUUACAACAUGAACGUGCAGCCGUUUACUUUAACGUCUAUGUGCCAUAUAAGAAUACAAACGCCGUUGACUUUAAUAUGUCCACUCUAUGCUAAGUGAACCCAAAUAAGUUGGAUCCCAACAAAAGUGACCGCCUUCUACAUGACUACAUGUCUUAAGUAAUGGCUCAAAAUUGUAAAACAAGGUCAGUGAUGUUGAAAUAUAGUUAAUUAACAUAAUAUUUAAUCACGGCGAACCGAAAAAAACGAUAUGUAGACAGUAGACGUUAAUAUAAAUCAAAAUAUACCAGAGUUUACUAGGCUUCUAUUAGUUCUAUAUAUUAUAUAUAUCAUUACCGUGUUGAAAAUAUACUAUUGAGAAAUACCUUAAAAAUGAAAAAAAAAAUAGUAUUCAUCCCAAACCUAACACAUUAAGAUUAAAUUAUUGUGCGAAAAUAUUUGUUUACCCAAAAUAAUUUACAAAUAAAAUUAAAAUAUUAGUCAACUAGGUAGGAAUACAAGAAUGAAAACAUAAUUAGGAAAAUAAUUGUGAUGUGACAUUAUGACUAAUUCUCUGUAACUGUCAGCAAAUAUUUUUAUGUUUCUACCCUUGAUUUAGUGUCUUGAGAAACACACGUUAUAACUUGUUGUUGUGUUAUCUAUAUAUUUAAUUAAUUAUCAUGGUAUAACUUAUUGUAACUUAUUUCUUUUAGAUAUAUCGCUAACUUUAUAUAUAACAAAAGUGUUAUAUCGUACGCUUAAAAAAAUUUGCAAUGCUUAAAACAAUCUCUAUAUUAUUAUUUAAGUAGACAUUUAAAAAAAUAAUCUUUAUUUUAUAAAAUAUUACAUGAUAUGUCAUUACAAAUGAAAAAGAAUAAUUAAAAUAAGAAAUAAUAUAAUUGUCUUUCAAAUCUAUUGAAAAAAAUAUGGAAAGUUUUUGUUUCUCAUUUAAUAGAGUAUAUUUAUUAUUUGAUUUUUGUACUAAAAAAUAUGAUAGUUUUUUAUAUUUUUUGUUUCAAAUGAUAUCAUAAAUUUUAUUUAAUUAAAAAAACGUGGAAAUAAAAACAAUUUCACAAUUAAAUAAUAUAAAAUUAAGAGUAAAAGUUAUGAUAUUAAAAAAUGGUGAAUAUUUUUACUAUAAUUUGUUAUAUUUAAUUGAUUAUUUACAACAAAAAAAAUUUAGUUAUUUUUACAAAACAUUUGACAUGAAAAAUUUGAUUUUUAAUUAAAAAAAAGUUUGUGGUCAAGUGAAAGUUAUUAAAUGGUGCAUAUUAUAAUUAGUUUUAUAUUUUAAUCCAGUACAAACAUGUUAAGUAAACGGAUUAGUUUUGAUAUGAACGGAUCAUGAUUCUAAUUUUUUAAUAUCCACCAAAAAAAUAUUCGCAAAUCAAAAUUUUUUUUUUUAAAUGGUAUAUUUAAUCUACUAAAUAUUAUAAUUUUUUUUAAAACUAAAUAUAGUUUAUUGUAUUUUAAGUAAUUUUAUAUAAAACCUAAAUUUAUAUUAAUAUUUAAGUAAUCUUUAUUUUGUAAAUAUUACAUGAUAUGCUAUUACAAAUAAAAAUAAUAAUUAAAAUAAAAAAAGAUAUAGUUGUCUUUCAAAUCUAUUGAAAAAAUAUGAAAAGUUUUUGUUUCUCAUUUAAUAGAGAAUAUUUAUUAUUUAAUUUUUGUAUUCAAAAAUACUGUAGUUUUUUAUAUUUUUGUUUCAAAUGAUAUUAUAAAAUAAAUUUAAUUAAAAAAUGUGAAAAUAAAAAACUUUCACAAUUAAAUAAUAUAAAAAUCAAGAGUAAAAGUUAUGAUAUUAAAAAAUGGUGAAUAUUUUUACUAUAAUUUGUUAUAUUUAAUUGAUUAUUUACAACAAAAAAAUUUUAGUUAUUUUUACAAAACAUUUGACAUGAAAAUUUUGAUUUUUAAUUAAAAAAAGUUUGUGGUGAAGUGAAAGUUAUUAAAUGGUGAAUAUUAUAAUUAGUUUUAUAUUUUAAUCUAGUACAAACAUGUUAAGUAAAUAGGUUAAACUGAUCAUGUUUCUAAUUUUUUAAAUAUCCACCAAAAAAAUCUCGCAAUUCAAAAUAUUAUUUUUGAAAAAAUGUGGUAUAUUUAAUCUACUAAAUAUUAUAAAUUUUCUUUUAAAACUAAAUAUAGCUUAUUAUAUUUUAAUUAAUUUUAUAUCAAACCUAAUUUUAAAAAAUAUUAUAUUUAUUUACAUAUAUAGUUAAAAAAGAUAAAACUGAUUUUUUAUAAUUUGUGGACAGAUUAUAAAACUCAGUUAUUAAGCAGUGUAAAUUAUAUUUGAUGAUUAUAAUAUUAUAUAUUUUUGUAUAUUAAUGUUAAUAAUAUAUUAGUCUAAUCCCAAUGGAUUAAAUAAACAACUUAUUUUGCUUCACCCGCUUAUAAAAUAACUUCAUAUCCGGAUUAGUUCAAAUUUUUUAGAAUUCAAAUCAAAAAAAAAAUGACUCUACAUACAGAUCAACUCAUUUUAUAAAAUUCACAAAAUAACUAUUUUUGUAAAAUAACUGUUUUUGAAAAAUAAUUGUUUUUACCAAAUAAUUUUUUUUUGCAAAAUUAUUUAACGUAAUUAAAUUUCAAAAAAUUACCCCGCGCUACAGCGCAAGUUAAUCCCUAGUUCUAUAAUAAAACCAUAACAUUAUCGUGUUCAAUUAUAUCUAACAAGUUAAGUUACCAUAUAUAAUAAUUAAUAACUUGAGAAUGACUCGCGGCAGCGUUGUAAGGCUGCUUAGAGUCUUUGCCAACUAGCCGCACCGGAAAAAAAAAGCUUACAAUACUUUCGUUUAACUUGUAUCUAAAUAUAAUGUUGGUUUUGGAGACUUAUAUUAGCCCAUUGAUAAAUAUCACCGGGGUAUGGAAUAAGCUACAUAUAUUGAUUGUUAUGUCAAAGCUAGGGAAAUGGCUGGAAAGCUCCGAUGGAUGGAAAACUGAUCUCGUAUGUCACCGUCGUAAUAACAAUUUGUAAUUUAUUUUCUUUUUAAGUGUAGAAAGUAUGGAAAAACCAUAACAAUCAUUGAGAUGUUAAAAGAAUUACAAAAAAACCUAAUAUUUACCCACCCGACCCGACGGAAAGGGGAUUUUACUCAGGUUGAGUCGGAUUUAUUCAUUUUUCAGAGAAGUAAAAACCUAAAAUUCAUUUCUGCAAAAUCGAGUGUAAUCAACCGUUUAAAUCUGUUGUGAGAAUCGAAGUUCUCGCCGGAAUCGAAGUUGUCGCCGGAAUCGCAAAGUCUGUGGUCGCUCUCCGUAAUGGCGAAGGUAAAGAAAGGGAAACAUGGAGUUGUUUACGAUUCGAUCAAAACCUCCACCACAGAAAACCUUCCCGAAGCAACCGUUGUCGAGAACAAAGGCAUUCCUCCCCCCAAAAGUGCUCAUCACCGACGCUAGGGGUAGUGUAAUGGGUGUGGAAGCAGUCAAGGCAGGGCGAGAAGGAGAUGAAGAAGAAGUAUUGGAGGAAAAUGGAUAGUCAGUUUCCGAGGGGGCCGGUUCCAAGGAAGCAGACAGGGAAGGAGAUGAAGAAGGAGAGGGAAAAGAAGAGGAAGAAACGAAAGAAGCCAAGGAUGAAGAAGAUGAAAUACAAGAGGAGGAAGCAGAUGAUGAAGAUGAGGAAGCCGACGAUGAAGGAGAUGAGGAGGAGGCAGAGGAAAAAGAAGAGGAGGAUGCAGAUGAUGAAGAAGAGGAGGAAGCAGAGAAAAAUGAAGAAGAGGAAGCAGAUGAUGAAGGACAGGAAGCAGAUGAUGAAGGACAGGAAGCGAAAGCUGAGGUAGCAACAGAGGAGGAAUGUGAGGACAUAAACGAUGGGGAAGAAGAUGAGCAGGUAUGUACUGUAUUCAUGUACUGCUUGAUGUGAAUUGGCCGCAGGUUAGGAGUUAGUAGAGGAGAAAUCCGGUUUUGUUUGAUUGAUCGUGUAAUUAUGUAGGACAACUGGAACAACAGGUACAGCUAAGUAUGAUAAGUUUGUGUUUCAUGGUUGAAUUUUGGAAAACUGUGUCAACUAAUGGAAAAUGUAAUUGAAUUUUAGGAUUCCGAGGGUGAUAGCUAGCCGAUGCAACCUGAGAAGCUUUUCUUUAAGCCAAUCGAGUUUGGCAAAGCUUGCAAGAUAGUUACUAGAUGUUCUGUAAAGAGUGUUGUCCAGAAGAUAGAGGCAUUGCCAGAAGAGACGAAAUGGUUCAAAGCACACCCUCAAUUCAGGCACAUAUUUCACAUGCCCAAGGAGCCGAAUCACAUGAGUCAAGGUCUGUGGAUGCUCCUUCUCCAUACUGCUAAAACCGGGAAGGAAAGUGAGUGCUGGUUUGUUGUAAACGGUGUUCUCAUCCGUUACUCGUUGAGAGAGCAUGCGCUCUUCUGUGGCUUAGACUGUCAUGAGUACCCUACAAAGUAUAAGGAAUUGGGGGGGGGGGGGGUUGGAGCUUUGUUGAGAGACAGUUUGGAAGGAAGAAGGCAAUAACAGUGAAGGAUGUAGAAGAGAGGCUUGAGGCAAUGGAGAGCUCUGAAGAUAAGAAAAAGAUGGCAGUACUCUUUUUCUUAUGCAAAGUUGUUAAAGCCAACUCUAAGGCUAAUGGUAACAUAGAGCCCUUCUUGCUUCGAGUGGUGAAUGAUCUGAGGCUGUGUAAGAAAUUUCCCUGGGGACGCUACACGUUUGAUAAUUGCAUGAAGGAGAUACAUCGUGUGAUGAGUAAGCUCAGAGGAAGCGUGAAAGCCAGAGGACAUCAUGCAGCUUUGCUGGUUUCAUUGUUCCUCUAGAGGUAUGUAUUAUUAAUGAGUUUUCAAGUAUUGGUAUUGUGAUAUUGAUUUUUUGAUAUUGUAAUUUUCUAUGUAGAUUAUGGCGUUUGAAUGUAUUCCUGAGCUUCGACGGAGAUGCCAAGAAAUUGUGCUUGCAAAUGGAGACUGUCCACGCAUGUGCAAGGGGAAGUUUUCUGAGAUAUGCAUGAGAGGAUUUCCUUUGGAGGACAUCAACGAGACGAUAAGCAAUAGUAGCGAGGUAAAUGUUAGUAGUAUCCUUUGAUGAGCAAUAUUAUAAGAUUGACCUAGGUUGGAAGUAGUAAGUAGGUUUGGUUAUUUAUGACAGGAUUUUAUAAGCAUAUUGGAACCUGACUCUGAGGAAGAAGUGCUUAUAAAUCGCAUAUUGGAACGUGGAUAUGACGAAAGGAUAGGGUUUGUUGAUCCGUUUGUUGAGUAUUGGACUGAUUACCUCACCGUAAAGAAGAAGAAAAUAUGUUGGAAACAAUUGUAUGACUUGGAGGUUGGUUGUCGAGGUCAGAAACCGGAACAUAAACCCAAGCCUGAACCGGAUAAGGGUACAGCAGUAGUGAAUUUGGAAAAGAGGUUAGAGGUUAUGGAGGAGAGACUGAAAGUUGUUGAGAAAUAUUUGAAAGAAAAGAUGGAGUUCACUGGAACAGAAGUGAGGGCACCACCAUCAGCAGUAGAAGUUCCUACACCCACACGAGUUCCUACACCUCCACCAGAAUCAGCAGUAGUCCUUACAACACCAGCAGCCCUCUCGCCCAGACAAGAAUCCACAACAACAGCAGUCUUCUCACCCAGACAAGACUCCACAGAACCAGCAGCCAUCUCACUAAUACAAGUGUCCACAGCCCCGUCCUCACCACCACCAGAAAGAGUCAAGAGGCAAGGUGCACCAUCACAGUGGAAGAAACCUUCGUUUACAGAAGCAAAAAAGACGGAAAAAGGUGGGAAUGAAAAGGUUUCCAUGGAAGAAGAGAAAAAAAGCAGAAGAGAAGAACCAGGUCGAAACAGGAGCUUCGAAUCAAACUAGGAAUAAAGAGAAGAAGGCUGCCGGGGAAGAAGUGAAGAACAAGGUGUAGACAAGGGCCUCGAAAAGACCUAAGGUUUAGGUUGUUUGGAACUUUUUAAUGUAUGGUUGGUACUUGUUUGAAACUUGUUUGAUACUUGUUAGUGGUUGGUACUUGUUUUUUUUAAAGUCCAAAUAUUUUUUUGUAGUUGGAAGUUGUCUCAAAGUUUUGUUUUUUGUGGAUCUUGUUUGGAGCUUUCGUGAAAGUCUUGUUGUUGUGCAAAAUUGCAUGAAUGGUUUAGGUUUGAAGUUACAACAACCGUAUUUUUUUUUUUUUGGAUUGUAACUUCUGGGACAAGAUGGUUCAACUAAGACGAAUUGUUUACUACAUAACAAAUCAGGGACAAUUAGGUCAACUAAUACGAAAUGACCUACAUUAAAAAUAUGGGACAACAAGGUUCAACUAAUAAAAAAUACAUGAGAAAUUCAUUAGACAAUUGGGACAACAAGGAUCAACUAGGAAGCUUGGUCAACCUUCCAUCUUCUUCUCCAGUGCCGCCUCAAGAGCUUCGACCUUCGCCUCUAGCUUGUUUAUCUUUGAGCACAUGGCUUCAAACACAGACUUCAUAUCUUCUUGAGUUUCCUUUGCCAUCUUAAUCUACUCUUCGAUCGCGACAUCCCACCACUUUUUAAAUCCACAACUUGGAACCUGGAACACACCAAAUGCAGAUGAAGCUUAAGAUGGUGCAAAAAAGAUAGAACAUCACAAAAGAGACGAAGAUUUAAACAUAUCUUACUUCCAGGAAGUUUUUGGGUCCACAUCAACCGUAAAAGCAUCCAUAGUAUCUCUGGCCCCUGUCUAGCACAGAGUUGUCGAUUAGGCCCGGCCAAGGAGCAAUACGGGAGGGACCGCAGUAGCAGAACUCCAGAAUUCCCAUUUGCUUAGGGCAUUCGACAAUGGUUCUGACUCCAUUAAAUUCGGGACCCCAUCUUGUACCUUUGCCGUAAUCCUUCUUUGGGAAUGGUAACCCCUUGUCCAUUCCUGCAAUCGAAAAAAACAAACUAACAAUCGAUACACUCAAGCCAAUUCCCCUGAACCCUAUUUCGCCUUUUUCUCUAUCUUUCUUGAUAAAAGAAUUUCUGAGAACUGAGAUAACAAUGAGUUUUAAUAAUAGAAAUUGGGGGGAAGGGAAACUUGAAAUUUGGAUAUUUGGAGGGAAAUUGAAAUAAUUUUGGAAAUGGGCUUGGAUGGAACUUGAAAUAUUUUUGAAUUAACCUUAAAGACGUCGUCGACUUCGAAGCCCAAUAAUCGAGGCACGUGACAAAAAAAAACGUGCGCCGUCAUUUUAGUACGUAAUUGUCCGUAAUUGUCCCAGUGAUAACAUUUUCUUAAUAGGUGUACUUUGGUGAUUUAUGAAGUUUUUAGAUUGUCCUUUUAUAUAAAUAAUCACAUUUUAGUUGUCCAGAUGAAUUAUUAGUUUAAAUUGUCAUCCUAAGGGUUUUCAAGGUAAAUUCUCAAUAAAAUCAUGUAUUUGUUAUAUUUAUAUGUGCCUAAGGUCCAUCUUGUGGAUAAUUUAUACAUAUAAAUAUUUUUUUUUAUGGAUUUAGUAAUAAUUAUUGUCACUACUAAUAGUAGAACCUUAAGAAUCCAGUUGUACCAAAUGGAUCCGCUUUGCAAAACUGGCACGCAACAAAGUGACUAACAAACAAAACACACAUAAAUACAAAAGCGUCAACAGAAAUAGAAGAAAUACAAAUAGUUGUCCAUAGUCGAAAUACAAGUACAAAUAGUUGUCCAUAGUCGAUCAGGUUGUCCAAAUAAAAACAAGAAGAAAUACAAAUAGGUGUUUAUAGUCGAAAUACAAGUACAAAUAGUUGUCCAUAGUCGACCCGGUUGUCCAAAUAAAAACAUACUCAGAACCUAAGUUUUCCCGCUUUCUGACUGCUGAGAACUUCGGAAACAAGCCUCCAAGUCCAAGUGAGGGUCUGCCUUGUUCUUUGUCCUCCGGCGACGUUCUCCAGGCUUUGGUACACGCUUUUCUUUAUUUCUACCUGGUUUUUUCUUCACAUCUGGUGGUAAGACGACCAACUCUUUGAUGUUGUCAGGAAUAAUCCACCCAAUAUGAUGAGGAACAGGAUAAAUUGUUCGAUGGUAUGCCAAUGCCCACGUCUCAAUCAAGUAAUACUUUGAGCACAAGUCAUACACUUCGAUAUUCGCUGAUCUAUCUUUGGUGCUCAUCAGUUUCUUCGCUGCGGCUAUUGCAUGUUCACACGGAAACUUGUCUAUAUCAAACCGCCUGCAGUAAAAGCUUUUCGCUUUCAAGUUCACCACGUAAGUUUUUCCGUCCAGUCCAUUAACGCUGUAUUCAAGCUCGUAGCUGUUUAGUUCCGUCACCACUAAAAGAGACGCGAUUGCACAUCGAGUGUGGAUUUCAUUCUCCACAACAGGCACCACUCUCUUAUUGUAAAAAGGACCACUAGAUUCCUUCCUAUAUCUAUUAAAACAUUCAGAUAUUUUGGCUAUAAUCGCAUCGAUCAUAUGCAAUAAGGCGUACUUCCUCGCAGUCACUAAACAACUAUUCAUAGACUCUCCGGUGUUACUAGUCUCUAUGUUGUACUUAUCCCCCGCAAAGCAGCACCUAGCCCAUUCUUCCAGCGUCACACUCUUAUCAAGGUACUCAGCGGCUUUAGGAAACCUAACUCUAAAAUCACCAUACUCUCUAAUGAAAUCAGAUUGAGUAUAGAUAUGCGCGCAAUCCCUGAAUUUCGCAGCAACGAAGUCUUUAUUGAUAUUACUAACUUUAUCUCUCACAUUUUGCGAAAUAUGUCAAAUACAAUAUCCAUGAUGAGUGCUUGGAUACACCUCGGAGACUGCGUUGAUGAUGCUUGCAUGUCUAUCACUCAUAAACACUAAUUCAUGAUCAUCUGGAAUCAUGGUUUUUAACUUCUCGAGAAACCACCCCCAGCUACAAUUAUUCUCGCCAUCAGUCACACCAAACGCAACCGGGUAAUUUUGCCAAUUAGGGUCUUGAGCUGUGGCAAAUACUAGCAUACCACUAUAGGAACCCGAGAGAAAAGUUGCGUCCACUACUAACACUUUCCUCAUUGCUAUAAAACCUUCAACGCAAGUGCCUAAAGAAAUGAAUAAGUAUUUGAACUUCUUCUCUGUAGUCAAUUCCACGCUUGUUACCGUUCCGACAUUUACCUUCUCCAACAUGUGCAAAUAAGGAUACAACAUACCAUAACUUUCUUCUGGACUGCCUUGUACAUAAUUAAUUGCGAGUUUCAUGCCUCUCAAGGCAGUGGAAUAGGAUACAUUCAUACCAAUAUGCCCUUGAACAACGUUGAUGAUACUUUUAGCAACUGGGGUAUCGAGCCGACCUGGAUAGACAUCAUGCAGAACCGAUGCUACCAUUUCUGGCGUACCUUUCAAUUUAUUGCUGCUUGUAGUCUGAGAAGCACGGGAACAUUUGUGCAUCUUUCUAUACACCCUAACACUGAAACGGCUUGAAUCCUUAACACUCGCAGCUCGAAGAUACCACUUACAACCUUGUUUCUUCUGACGACAUUCUAGCAUAAGUCUGUUUUUAUCCGACUUGAUAGUAUUGAACAAAAAACAGUAUUUAUGCGCAGCUCUCUCAAUCAAAUGUUGCACUGUCGCCUUAAAACUAAACUCUUGACCAACUACAAGAUCCGCACCAUCUUCCCAUUCAGCAACUAACUGACUUUCUUUAGCAGCACAUGGUGGUUCAUAAUAGUGAGGCUCCUCCAUACAAUCACCUCCUAAUAUGUUAUCAUUCAAUGCCAAAAUUUCAUCACUAUCGUUACCAUCACCCCCAGAUUCUUUAUGCAUACCUUCAUCAACAUCAUCCUCCAUCGGCUCUUUAAUAAUUGGCUCAUUGUGUUGCUUUGCUGUUCCCUCUGCUCUGUAGAUAGUUAGGAUCCCCACAUCACCACUGACAUUUGAACCAAGCUCUCCUUUGUUCAAACCAACUGAGCUACCUUGAUCAGCUCUAGACAGUUGCGGAGACAGUUGCGGCUCCAUUUGAGUUAGUUCCAUAACUUUCAUUAUUUCCUCGUGCAAAGCUGAUCUAAAUUCCUUUUCGUCCACUGUUGUUAGAUAUACAUAAACAUCCUCAUCAUCAUAAAUAUAUGACUGGCUCUGAGGGUUAAAUACCAAUGGAAUGUAGCUCGAUUUCAGUUGCGGUGUUCUUUCAUCUAUUGUCAUCUUCCUGCAUAUCGUCUCUACUAAAACCGAGUAAGUAAUCUCCUCCAAUAGCACAAUAUUUCAAAGAUAUUGCAAAGGUGGAACUUCCUCCAAUCCAUUUGAACACCUCUCCGACUUCUGUAUACUUUUCUCCAUAAUCAAUGUGUAUGUUUACGGACGGACUCAUUCUGCCCCACCCUUCUUGUAUAUAGGAAACCAAAAUACGCUUAAUUUGUCACAGUUGUACCAUUAAGUAUCAGUUGUUCUAUAACUCAUAUUUGUACCUUUGUGUACUAGUUGUUCUAUACCUCACAUUGUACCAUUGUGUACCAGUCGUCCUCAAUUUCUUAGUUGUACUAAUUUGUACCAAUUAUCCUAAAUCUGCAGAUUUUGCCCCAUCUCGAUACUCAUGGCGACGUCUAAUCUAGCUCAAUGGGGACCUCUAUUCACCAAUCAAUCUACCUAAUUGACCCAAUGUACAUACCACAACAUGCAAUGUUGCCAAGGAAAGAUAUACCAUACCUAAUCAGAGAAAGAAAAUGAGCUAAUUGGGGAAGAGAGAAGGGAGGACUGCCGCCGACGGCCAGCUGAGAGUUCUGCGCUUUCAAAUGCAGCGUGUGACCGGCGGAGAAGAACAACAACCGCGAACGAUAAAAAGAAGAGGAUCAAAUCUUCGUUUUCCAGCAACAAAAUCGAUUUUUGAAAUCGCGUUUUCUUUACCGGCGAUCAGCAAUAUAUUUGCGUUUCCAAAAUAAAUUAUACAAAAUCGAUUUUAACAAAAUACACAGAAAGUGGAUCCUCUCAUUAAAGUUAGAUUAGUAUUUUUCCCAACUUAGUGGCAUGCCGAUAAAAAGGUAGCAGGCUAGAACGACUGCUACACAAAUAAUGGCAUGCGAGCAGGCCCGGCCUUGAGGGCAGGCGAGAGAGGCGACCGCCGCGGGCAUCCAUUCUAAAGGGGCAUAUUUUUGCGACAUUCAUUAUAAAAUGGCAUAUUUUUUGUUAAAAACAAAUUAUUAGGGAUCAAACUCUAAUUUAUUUCGAGUCCAGGUUUGAACAGUUCCAAAAGUAUAACCAAACUUUUAGGUUUUUGUUUGAUAUAAAAAAACUAAUAUCGGCCAUCAAUGAUAGUUUUUCGAAAUUGAAGCUGAUAAGGAAUUAUUUGCGCGCUACUAUGUUACAAGAGCGAUUGAAUGAUGUUGAGAAUCAAACACGAAGAAAACAAUAAACAAUAGAGAAAAAUCGUAAAAUGAGGCAAACGCCCGUUUAGAGUUUUCUUAUUAAUUGUGUGAAUGAAUAAUUACAAACCUUAAAUCUUGUAUUUAUAGCCCCAAAAACCCGACUCCUUAACCCACUAGAUAAAGGAAAACCUAAAUCUAGCCCAAUAAAGAAACCGUACCGUUCGCCCCCCACACCCUAAGUAAAUCUGCGUCCAUCCAUAGCUUUGUUAUCAAUUGAGACAACUAUGGUUGAAAAACUCGAUUACGACAGUUUAAUGAACGAUUUUACACAGAAAAAAAAACAAAAAGAUCUAUAUUUCAGCAAUAAACUAUAUGUUUUAUUGGAUUUUUUUUCUUACAAACCAUUUAUAGAGUUUUAUUGUUUUAUGAAGUUUUUAUUUUAUAUUUUAUUAUUUUAAUUUUUUUAAAAAAAUAUAAAAGGACAUAUUUUUAAAAGUUAGAUGCGGGCAUCCAAAUUGAUCGGUCCGGCACUGCGAGACAUUUCCCCGUCAAAGCUGCAUCGUCAUCGUUAGGAGAAAGCUUAACACAGUACCAACUACGUCCACGUGUAUAUAUAUUUAACUUUACUUAAUCGUUACAUAUAUUACGAAAUUGUUUAUCUGAAUAUAGAAUUUAAGUAAUAUUGAGUUUUGAUCUCUAGCUCGUAUAUAUGUUUCGAUGGGCAGAAUUGAAUGACUCCUCUAGUAGGACAGCAGUUUGCUAGUGAUACGAAUGAUUCGUAUGUUGUUCAAGAUGAUCAUCACUGAGAUGGAUCUGAGACUUCUUAGUUGUAGUUGAACUUGAUCCAUUUGCUAUUCUACAUGUCCUUUCUUCAUUUAUGAUUUAAAAAAAAAAUUAAAGAGGGUAUUUUGUUUAUUUUGUAGACGACCAACAAUUGUCAUAAAGGUGAUUGAAAGCGGAUACAAGAACUGAUGCCAAAUCUACAACGUUAUCCACAAUAAUUUUUAGAAAGAGGUGUAAAAAGUGUCUGAAUUCGAAUUGGCCGAUGUAAGAAAAAAAAAAGAACCACUCGCAAGCCGGCAAGCGUAAUUUGUUAUCAUGGUUUCCAAUCCGAGAAUACUAUAAUUUUGACGAUGCUUUGCUUGAUAAGUCAUAACCUUCUUUUUUAUUUCCGCUUUAUAACUCUAACAAAUCAGACGUAGUCCAGAGGAUCUUAAGCCCGAAUGAUUGACCGGUCUAUGCUAAUGCUACAUAUAUAGUUGAGUGAAUUCGCGGCGAGGUGGAGGUUUUUGUAAAUUUUUAUUCUGGUUCAUGAACUUGGUAUCAGUAAUAUCAAAGCAUACACAUUUUUGCAAGAAAGACCCAAACGGUGUAUUUUCAUUUGUAAGAACUUUUAUAUCAUAUAUUGGUUAGUUGUGGAGACGGCGAACGUACAUUUGAAUAAUCAAUAAUACAAGUACUGCCUAGAAAGACCAAAAAAGAAAUAUGGGGGAAAAAAGUCAAAAGACUCAAAAACUCUAGAGACAUGUUCUCAUGUUCGAUACCAACUUGUUUUAAAAAUACUAAUAGACAACUCAACUCGACACAUAUAACAGAUAUAUAUAUAUAUAUAUAUAUGACAUAUAUAUAUAUAUAUAUGUAUAUAUAACUAUAAGUAGGUUGUGUGUAUAAAUUUGCCCCAUUAGUUGAAAUUAGCUCCCGUCAUGGCUUCUGCUUUGCUUUUUCUUCUUUUCUUUCAUUUCAUCAUAACCCUCUCUAUAGCCAGUAAGUAGUUCUUUACAAACUUUCAUUAAUCUCUUAAUUUGGUUGUCUAUAAAUAAAUUACCUUUGAUUCACACGUAAUUCAAGUUCAUCUUUCUUAACCCUAGCUACCAUGCAGUACUGCUACCAUGUUGGCUUAGUGAUCAGAAGAGUCUUAAAUAUAGCCAUAAACCUGAAAUCCCUGGUCGGGAUCGAUCCACACGAUUAACGGAUUUUUUUAGUGUUUUAUCUGAUGUCAAAAAUUUCUUUAGUAAUAUAUAUGUAAUAUAUAUGUGUCAUGUGUGCGUGUAUAUAUAGUAAUAUAUAUAUAUAUAUAAAUUCUUUAGUAAUAUAUAUAUAUAUAUAUAUAUAUAUAUAUGUGUCAUGUGUGUGUGUGUGCUGGGGUAUUGAAGAUCUAUAACGGACUUCUGAAUUUUUACGAAAUUCCAUCUUACAUAAAGCGUAUAAAAGUCCCUCAAUUAUGUGGAUCGAACUUCUUACGAAACUCGAUAUACGUAGCAUUAUUAGUUAACUCGAUUAAACUAAUUUUAAAGAAGAUCUUUUAAAAAAAAAACAUUGAAUGUAAUCAAACAAAGAACCUUUGUUACAUCUAGUGCAAUUUUUUUUUUCUUAAACCGUAGCUAUCUUUAUCAUCAUCAUAAUGGUUCAUAGCAUGCAUUGAUCAAUUUCAGGCGUAAACAUAGACUGUGGAACGUCUUUGUCAAGCGUAGACAACAACUAUAUAAGAUGGGUCGGAGACACAGACUUCGUCACAUCCGGAGUGUCGGCCACGGUUUCCUCAACAACCGUUGAGAGAUCCCACACCACACUUCGGUAUUUUCCAACGGGUGAAUCAAAUUGCUACUCCAACAUUCCGGUUAAAAAAGGCGGAAAGGUCCUAGUGCGAACGAUGUUUUACUAUGGGAACUACGACGGGAUGUCCUCAUCCCAAACGUUCAGCGUAGUGUUCGAAGGUAAACACCGACGCACUGUAUCGAUAACCUCAGCGUUCCUACCUCACACUUUGGAGCUGAUAUUGCUCCAGCCAGUGGAGAGACCAGCGUUUGUUUUGUGCGUACGUCUACGUCAUCAAAGCCUUUUGUAUCCUCCAUUGAAGUUGUCGACUUGGCCGAUGGCAUGUAUGACGAGCUCGGUCCUGGUGAAGGUUUGUUUUACCAACAACGAGUUGCGUAUGGCACAACAGAAGUUCUAAGGUAAUUAACAUCUAUAUACAACAGCGUGUAUAAGUUACGUUUCAUGGCCAAUAAGUAGAUUGAUUCAUAUCUUCAUGCAUUAGUAUAGACUGUUUUCUUCUAAAUUUUGAUGUAGAAUCUGUGAAAAUAUUCUAUAUUGAAAGUUGAGAGAAAUCUUGGAUAAUAUAUAAAAGAUUUGGACCAAUUCAUUUUUUUAGUUUGGUUUUGAAUUGGAAAUCCUGAAAUUUAACAUAAUAUUACAGCAAGAGCAAGGUUAUAUGUUGCCCAAUUUAAACCAAAAUCAAUCCGGCCAAUCAAAAGAGGUCCUUUCGAUCUCAAUUGAAAUCGGUCCGACCUGAUUUAUUUGACUGAUCUUACUUGAAAUUAAUUUUAUAAGGAAUAUUGUGGAGAUUAAUAGCUAGACGGCUCAUGAGGCAUGUGAAAGUAUCUCAUAUUGAAACUUGAAAGUUGUGAGAUAUCUUGGAUAAUAUAUAAAGAAUUUGGAGAAAUCAACUCAUAACCAAUUAGUUUUAAAUUGAAAGCUCAUGAUAUUUAACAGAUCCUAACAAACAUAGGUUAUAAUUGUAUUGUUUGAGGAUUGUGUUCAUGAUUACAAUGUGUUCUCUUUUUCUUUUAGAUCGGAUCUUUACGGUAGAUUUUGGCUUCCUUCCGAGAUAAACAUAUUGCUGACCGGAAUACCAUCCUCGGCUGCAUCCAUCGAUACCUCUGGUGCAUCAAACAACCCGCCUGAGGCCAUCCUCCGUAACUCUUGGAGCACAGAAGGCUUAACAUUAGUCGACCCCAGUCUUUCUUCUGGAGGAGUUCCGGUUUAUUUGGCUAUGUAUUUCUCGGAGCCUCUCCAAUCGAGUGUACGAUCGUUCAACAUAAGAUUUGGCAGUACGAAAGUUAAUAACGUUCCAGUUGUGCCAGUGUUUGGAAAAGCUACACAAGUUGUAGUGAGAGACGUUGUGGCCAGAUCUAGCUCCCAGCUAGUGUUCCAGUCCACAGCUAGUGCGGUUUUACCCCCCAUGAUAAAUGCAUUGGAGCUUUAUGUGAUAAGUUCUGGUUUUAGCGAAAGCAGAAACAGAACAGGAACAGGUAGUGAUGGUGGUGGUGGAGGUGAUGGUGGUGGUGGGAGUGGUGAUGGUAGUGGUGAUGGUGGUGAUGAUGAUGGAGGUGAUGGUGGCGGUGGUGGUGAUGAUGGUGGCGGUGGUGGUGAUGGUGGGGGUGGUGAUGGUGAUUGGUAAUCAGAUGUUACACNNNNNNNNNNNNNNNNNNNNNNNNNNNNNNNNNNNNNNNNNNNNNNNNNNNNNNNNNNNNNNNNNNNNNNNNNNNNNNNNNNNNNNNNNNNNNNNNNNNNNNNNNNNNNNNNNNNNNNNNNNNNNNNNNNNNNNNNNNNNNNNNNNNNNNNNNNNNNNNNNNNNNNNNNNNNNNNNNNNNNNNNNNNNNNNNNNNNNNNNNNNNNNNNNNNNNNNNNNNNNNNNNNNNNNNNNNNNNNNNNNNNNNNNNNNNNNNNNNNNNNNNNNNNNNNNNNNNNNNNNNNNNNNNNNNNNNNNNNNNNNNNNNNNNNNNNNNNNNNNNNNNNNNNNNNNNNNNNNNNNNNNNNNNNNNNNNNNNNNNNNNNNNNNNNNNNNNNNNNNNNNNNNNNNNNNNNNNNNNNNNNNNNNNNNNNNNNNNNNNNNNNNNNNNNNNNNNNNNNNNNNNNNNNNNNNNNNNNNNNNNNNNNNNNNNNNNNNNNNNNNNNNNNNNNNNNNNNNNNNNNNNNNNNNNNNNNNNNNNNNNNNNNNNNNNNNNNNNNNNNNNNNNNNNNNNNNNNNNNNNNNNNNNNNNNNNNNNNNNNNNNNNNNNNNNNNNNNNNNNNNNNNNNNNNNNNNNNNNNNNNNNNNNNNNNNNNNNNNNNNNNNNNNNNNNNNNNNNNNNNNNNNNNNNNNNNNNNNNNNNNNNNNNNNNNNNNNNNNNNNNNNNNNNNNNNNNNNNNNNNNNNNNNNNNNNNNNNNNNNNNNNNNNNNNNNNNNNNNNNNNNNNNNNNNNNNNNNNNNNNNNNNNNNNNNNNNNNNNNNNNNNNNNNNNNNNNNNNNNNNNNNNNNNNNNNNNNNNNNNNNNNNNNNNNNNNNNNNNNNNNNNNNNNNNNNNNNNNNNNNNNNNNNNNNNNNNNNNNNNNNNNNNNNNNNNNNNNNNNNNNNNNNNNNNNNNNNNNNNNNNNNNNNNNNNNNNNNNNNNNNNNNNNNNNNNNNNNNNNNNNNNNNNNNNAUGCAUAGAUCACAAAUAAUUAAAGCAAACACUACAAGAAAAACAUCAUUUUACAACGGCCGAAAUGGUCGUUAAUUCGUCGUAAUAGGGCCAUUACGACGGACUACCGACGAUUUCGAAAUCAUCGUAAAGUCAUCGUCGUAAUAGACAAAUCGUCGUAAAAUCGUCGUAUAAUAUACGACGGUUUUGUUUCAUCGUAACGUCGAGGGAAACAAAAUCGUCGUAAAUGCGUCGUACAGUUUACGACAAGUUUACAUCGAAUUGCGUCGACUUGAUCUUCAUCUAGACCGUCGUUAAGUGGUCGUUAAUGGUCGACGUAAGAUCGUCGUAAAAUGUACGAUGCAUAAAUCGUCAUAAAUCAAUCGUAAAGUAUUUCUUCAUUUCGUCGUAAAAUCGUCGUAACUCUCGGACGUAUAAUCGUCGUAUUUGUCAUCUACAUUGUAGUCGAAAAUUCGUCGUAAUAUUUACGAUGAAUGUAUGACGGUUUGAAUAAAUCUAUUACGACGAUUAUACGACGUUUAAUAUAAUUGAAAAUUAAAAAAAAAUAAUUCGAAUUAAAAUUAAAAUAAAAAAAAAUAAUUUACAGUUUAAAAUUUAUGAAAAUUUGAAAUUAAAAUUAAUUGUAAUUUACAAAAAAAAACCCUACAGAUCUAAAUCUAAAUCUAAAUCGAUCCCGUCGAUUCGGUCACCGGCCUCCUCGACAUCGUCCUGGACGUGUUCCUUGCCGAGUUAGCUGCGUCUGUCGCUCCUCGUUCGCCGCACAGGUGGCGUUGUAGAUCUUCUCCGCCCGAGGAUCCGUGAAUUUGCCGUUACGCUUUUUAUGCGUCUCGGCGAAAACCUUCGUCAUCGGAGAAAGUUCACCUUCGUCAUCGGAUGAAGUUUUCCUCCGUUAUCUUCAACCUACAAAAUCAAAAUGAAAACAUUAAUUAGUAUCAAGAAAUAAGAGUUAAUUAUUUGAAAACAAAAAAAUUAAUGAUUUUUAUUUACUUACCAUCAUGAGCCGUCUUCCGGCAAAAGGAAUCUGGCCAGAAGUGUGCGGGACGUUCUUCCGAUUUCCCGCAUCGUUAGUAGCAUUCCUGAAAAAUAUUUUGAUUAGAAUCUAUUAUAAGAAAAAAAAAUAAUGUAAAUAUUAUUGAAAUUAACUACGACUUACCUAGAUCCGGAACACUUGGCGGCCGUAGUCUGGUUGUGCGGAUCCAACCAGUACUGGACAAGGCCCCGCCAGACGGUAUUGGACAUAGGCGCCGGCUUGGCCUUGUCGCCGUCGACCUCCCACUUCCGUUUCCAGUCGGAAACGGUGUUGUUGAGGCGGAAUUUGACCUUCUCUUUGAAGGCCGUCUCCACACGUCCGUGUGCGGAUGUUUCCCAAUGCCAGUUUUGCUAGGAAAAAAAAGAAGUUAGUAAUUAUUGUAAAAAGUUAAAAUCUAAAAUUAAAAUUAAAGGAAAUGGGUAAAUUACUUACCGCAAAACACUUGAACCAAGUGUCAAGUGUGGCCUGAUCCAGCUUCUUCCAGCUGGUAUGGGGUUGUACGAAAAAUCCCUUGAUGAUAUCCGCAACGUUACGACCGACUGCAUUGUCGGUCGUAAACCUAGUCAAAUGGAAAGAGCAAAAGUUAAUUAAUAUCAAAUAUAUAAGAAUAAAUAUUAAUUAAUUUAAAAAUAUUAUAGGCAAAAAAUAACGUACCAAAAGGUGCCGGGGGCUCGAUCCGGGUCGAGUUUGUUCAUGGUCUCACGACCGGGUUGCGCCAGAAGAUCCUGUACCGUAAACAGGGCAUACGGUACAGGCGGAUCGGAUCAGCCUCAGGCUCGGCCUGUGCGGGAGCCGCUGGUUCGGCUGGUGGUGGUGGAGGCGGUGCUGGCUGCGGAACAACGACCGGUUGGGAAACCGUCCGUUGUGUUCCCGAGGACUCCGGGAUGGCUGAUCCGGUCGCCGAGGUAGACGGGGCCGUACCGUCAGAAUCGACGAGCUGUCGGUAGUGAAAUCUCUUAGCCCGAGGAGCCAUCGAGACAGAAUCUACAAAAUUUAAAAAAAUUUGUUACUAAUUUUUCAAAUAUUUAUUAAAAUUUACAAAAUCCAGGACUAUCUAAAUUCCGAAACCUAAAUUUAAAUUCCGAACCUAAAUCUAAAUUCCGAACCUAAAUCUAAAAUAAUAUGUAAUGAAAUUAUUUAAAAAAAAAACUUACAAUUAAUUGGUCGGGAGAGUAGGGAGUGAGGGAGAGAUUUAGUUUUUUAGAGAGAGAGAGAUUUAUAGAGAGAGAGGGGGAAGAGAGGAAUGAGCGACGAAAGGGAAAAACUCGCGUCCCUUAUAUAGAUUUUGUGAUCGUCGUAAAAUCGUCGUAACUUUACGACGGUUUUACGACGAUUUGGUUGUAUAACAAUCGGUCCAUUGCAGGACACGACACGUGUCGUGAUGUGAUCGUCGUAAAAUCCUCGUAACUUUACGACGGUUUCACGACGAUUAAACCCAAAACCGUCGUAAAAUCGUCGUAACGUCUAAACAUUUAUAACCUCGUACCUCGGAUCAAGAGCCUAUCUGGUGCAAACGGUACGACGGUUUUACGACGGUUUUGGGUAUAAUCGUCGUAAAACCGUCGUAAAUUUACGAUUAUAUUACGACGGUUUUACAAUGUUUUUUAAAAAAGUGAGUAAACCCUAAAUCUUAUAAAUGGGGUAUUGCAUAAAUAACAAUGCAAAGGUUAUUGUAUCCUAUCAUAUAAUAAAAGGUUUACAACUUUGCAUGUAUGAUGGAUUUAUGACAUGAGAUAGUAAAAAAUGAAAUUCCAUAAUCUAAUAUAUAACCUUUCACUUAACAUUUUCGAAAACAUGCAUGAACUUGUAAAUAUGUAUGUUUUUUUUCAAAUUUUUUAUUUUGAUCAGAUUGAUAGCAUUUCAUAUAAAAUAAGAUAACCAAUAAAAAACAAAUGUGAAAUACCUUACAACCAAUAAGAUAUAAAAGAUUCAAAUUCUUGGAUUUCAACAUUACGACGCUUUUACGACGAAAUAGUGUAUUCGUCGUAAAACCGUCGUAACUUUAUGACGAUUUUACGAUGGUUCGUCGUAAAGACGUCGUAAUGUUGAAACCCUAUUCAUUCAGGGCUAAAAACCUAGACUUAGGGUUUAGGGUUUAGAAAAACCGUCGUAAAACCGUCGUAAAAUUGAAUUUUAUGGUUUUUAAAAAAUUCAAACAAACAAAGUUACAAAUUACAUAAUAACAAACAUUCACUAAAUACAAUGCAUGAAACUCAAUCAGAUUCAUCUUCCUCUAUUACUUCAUCACCAUCACCGUCUUCUUCCGCCAAAUCAUCAUCAUCGGUUUCAGCAAACUCAUCAUCACCUUCUUCUUCUGUAUCAUCAGGAAGAUCUUCAAGUUGCCUGUUCCGAGGGUCUAUUAAGAAAAUAUCCUCAUCAACAUCUGGUUCAGACAGAUCUACGCAAGUGUGCUGUCAACGCCCCAUCUGAAUCUUUACGCAUAUACAUCCAACUUUUUAGCUCGUAUAUAGACAUCUUGAAAAUAAACUCAAAAUACUAUCUCUUUUUAUUGAUUAGACAAUAAAGGAGGUGGUCUCUUGUGUCACGUCUAACCACGUGAAUGAAGUAAAUUAACCUUAUAAUAUUAUUACUUCUUUGAUUCAAAGUAAUAUAACUCUUAAUUCGGGUUUUCAGCAAUGGACGACCCAAUAUAUAAGGAUUUACAACACUAUACUAAAAUUUAAGAGACCUACAAUGGGUCUCCAAGAUGAAGAUGCUCUUAUGUUUGAAUGAUGAUGUGUUGUGAUUGAAUGAAGGAAUGAAGAUCUAUUUAUAGGAAAAUUUUGGGCUUUACAACGCUUUUACGACGGUUUUACAUUCAACAAUAAUAUUACGACGAGUUUACGACGAUUUUGCGAUAAAAUUUUUCAUCUACAAUUGUUAAGUAAACAUGUUUUAAAUGUUUUUCACCUAACUCCUUUUUCGACGUACAAUCGUCGUAAUAUGUACAUCGAAAUGUAGUCGUCGUAUAUUCGUCGUAAUUUUGCUACGAAUUUACGACGAUUUUACAUUUACUAGCAAAUCUCUCAUUAUCGAUGUAUAAUCGUCGUAAUUCGUCGUAAAUUGUACGUCGAGUUUACGACGAUUUUUAUAUACGACGGUUUUACGACGGUUUUUAAAUUAGACGUAAGAUCGUUGUAAAAUCGUUGUAAAUUUGCGACGAUUUAAAAACCGUCGUAAUGAACCGUUGGAAAACGAUUGUUUUCUUGUAGUGAAAUAAGAAAACUACAAUUUUUUAUGUUGGUUUAGGUGGGUCAGCCAAUGAAGAAAGGAAAAGUAAUCUGCCAAUAAUAAUCGGUGUUGGAAUCGCGGUAGCGAUUCUUCUUAUCAUCGCAUGUGUGGUCAUUGCUAUUCUCUUGGCGAAUCGUCACAGAGCUAGACUGCAAGCGUUGGCAUUGCCUACGUCCACAGGUAUAGAUAUUGAGCCUUUUGAUGUGGUUUGUGUGAUUUGUGUAUAUAAUGAUUACAUCUGAUCCAUUUGUUCUAAAGAUAUAUGAAAUUAAUUUGUUAUUGAAUAAUCUCUAUGUACUCUAGAGAUGUGACGUUUUAAAUGUUUAACGACAGUGACUAAUUUGGGGACCGGAGCAUCCCCUCUAGACGGACAACAAAUGGGGAACGACUCAAACCAGCCUACAAUUAAUGCGGACAUGCGAUCGGCGACCUAAUUGGAGUGAACCAAUCAUAUGUAGCGCAAUGACACUGAACAUCAUGUGAAAUGUAUGUUUUUGCUUUCCAUUAUAUGUGUUUCCAAUUAUUUUUUUUCGGUUUCAAUUUGCAAUUUCUUUUAUUCUUCUAGUCCUCAAUCGUGUUGUAAAUUAUUUAUUUCGGUUGAGACUUGAGAGAUAAACAAUUUAUUCUUCUAGUCCUCAUCGGCUUUUGAUAUUGUGUUGGACGCAUCUAUUUUGUCGUUGGAGCAUGGAUUUCAUUUUAGAUCUAUAGUUGAAACUAAUAAGUCUACUAGUUUAGUUUAUGGAAAACCAUAAAAGCUUAUGACGAACUUGCGUGUGGUGAUACACAGGUAACAGGUCCAUGACUCAGGACGUAAAUUCGCUACAAACUCUUGUAUGAUUCUACAGUUACAUAUGAUUGCAAAGGCAGGUCGAAAUAGUAUAAAAGUAAAACUAAAAAAAAGUAACAUAAUUGUAAAUAAAAUAAUAAAAAGGGAGAUAAUGAAGAAAAAGUUAAAAAAUCAUUUUUAUAUAGUUUUUUUAAUCAACUAGGUGGCUGGUCCGCGCCCUGCACGAACUGAUGUUCUUCAAAAGUUUUUUUUGGUUUGAACAGUUUUUAGUGUUUUAAAAUUAAUAUUCUAACCAUAUUUCGAAAGUUUGUUGAGUUUAAAGUGUAAGAAUCAAACCAUAAUUUGUAUAACGUUAAAUAUAUAUACUUAAAAAAGCAUAUUAUAACAACUGAUCAAUUACUAAUUUUUUAGUUCAAACAAACAGAGCUAUUCAAAACGUUAUCAUAGUCAACACUAAUUCAUAAUAUAAGAAGAUCCAAAAGAUAAAUCAGUUUAAUAUAACAAAAUUUAAAAGAUAAAACAGUUUAAAAAUACCAAUGACCAUCAAAUUUUCAUAACUAAUAUCCAAUGUAAUUUAAACAUACUUUUAGUAGCAAACAAAACAAAUUAUUCAAACCAACCGCGAAUUACGAUAAAUGUUUUCAAACACGUCUUUGUAAACAACAUUCACUGUCUUCUUUGGGCUUUGCCAUUCUUAUCUGUAAUAAGAAUCUUCAACCCUUGGCGUGAUGUAACUCUAGACACGGCGACAUAAAGUUGACCAUGCGAGAACACUGGCUUUGGCAAAUAUAAUCCCACCUUUUGUAGAGUCUGACCCUGGCUUUUGUUUAUAGUCAUAGCAAAAGCUAUAGUAAUUGGAAACUGCCUCCGGCGCAUUCUAAAAGGAAACCUUGCUUCUGGUGGUGACACAAACAUUCUAGGUAUGAUAACCUUUUUUCCUAUUUUCUUCCCGGUUAUAUGGCUUACCUCGAUUACAUGCCUAGCUAACCGAGUAAUAAGCAACCUCGUACCAUUACACAAACCACCCUUUGGAUCAAUAUUUCUAAGCAACAUUAUUGGAGCUCCUAUCUUUAACUUGAGAGAAUGAUUUGGCAGUCCUGAUACCUUUAUACUAUUAAGAUACUCCUGUGUAUAGACGACUUCGUCUAUUUUGCUUGUGUCUGAAGUAUCAAUGCUAUCGGCACUAAGGUAUUCAUGUUCCUCACCUAAUAAAAACAAUUCAAACUAUGUAGUACUGAUAUAUUUUAUAAUAUAAAUACGUAUUAAAAGGAAAUGUGAGAAAUCAUAUAACGAAGACCUUUGAGUUCUGAUAGCAUGAAUUCAUUGAUAACGUCGACAUCCUGAUUCCGUGGACUGAGUAUUGCCCUUUCUUGAAAAAAAACUGGUUCACGGGUGGUUGUGUAAGAUUGACCAUAAAUCUCCGAGACUAUUCUCUUAACAGGAUCACCUUCUCCGCCUAUCAGCAAAUCCGCUGGAAUUUCUAAUUCAUCUUCUAUGGUAUCAUGGAUAUUUAGUUUUCCAUCACCAAUAUCCAAGAUCCACUUGGCGAAUUCUUCAAUCUCUUUAUUAUUGAAAUCAUUAUCGCCACGAAGCAAUCUCAUAUUUGUCUUUAGCUGCAGAACUUUGCAAUCAGACCAAAUAAUAGAAGAAUUCACAGUUGCCAAUAUAGUCUCUGAGCUGUUGCCUCCGACAAUAACAGGGAGUAUUUGUCGAAAGUCACCACCCAAAACAACGACCUUUCCACCAAAUACCUUAUCACACUUUAAUAUAUCACGCAUAGUCCGAUCCAAUGUCUCAAAACAAUGCUUGCUCAUCAUCGGAGCCUCAUCCCAUAUAAUAAGAUCGGCUGCUUCAAUCAACUCUGCUUGGUGUGAUCCAGAACUCACAUUACAGAAUGUAUACUCGUUCACAACUAUGGGUAUUCCAAACCGAGAAUGCGCUGUUCUUCCUCCCUCUAAUAACAAUGCUGCAAUGCCACUUGAUGCAACAUUGAGAACUAUUUUCCAAGAAAUCACGCCUUUUCUGAUAUAAGAAAUCCUCAGUUAAUAUUUUCCAAGUAGCAUUCCAGACGUUGAUCGGAACUGCUACACUACUCGAGAAAAGCAUUAUAGCAAAAAGUUUACGAAGAAACUUUCCAGUUCCCCAAAAACUGGCCUCUUUAAUUCCUUCGAUGUAUUCUUUAUCAUCGUCUAACAAACCAAUCGCAAAGCAUGCUUCUCGGAAAGAAGAGUAUAUAAAACCAUUAACUUUUUUUAAAUCAUCAAAACUCUCAGGGCCCUUUACUAUAUUGAGAAGAAUCCUCAAAUGAUAUGCGUCUUCAACGGAAGGUGAGACAUACACCAGCCUGCCUAUGGCAAAACCUUGUUGUCGUAUUCUCCAUUGCCGCUGUUUUGAGACCCAGACGAAUUUUGUUGGGAAAUCAGCAUAUGUUAGCGUCUUUGCCAAGGCAUGUUCCUUGUUUGCCUCCAUCCACGCUAGAAAUUGUGACUGACCUACCGAUGCCUUGUUUAAGACUUGGUCAGCGCUCUCUCUUUCGUGAUAUAUACACAUUUGUUUUCCAGGCAAAUGAAACGAAAGUUGCAUUACUGCCGUGGUUCGGUACUGUGUAGGAAUCUUUAGAAGCCUCCAUGAAGAUUCAUACGAUGAAAUGUAUCUAAGAAUGAGCAAAUUAAAUAGAGAUAAAUAAUCUUGUUUUUUAUUAAACAGAGAUAAAUAAUCUUUUUUAAAAAAAAAUUAUACUUAAGUAGUUAUUCAAGCGAUCCAAUCUUAAAAAUUAGUUUCGGAAAGUUACCUGCAAUUGUAAUGUUGCUCAACCUCAUCUUGGGAUAUAACGGGGUUACCGUCUUCAUCCUCGAUUGCUGCUCUAAUGUAAUAUGGACCCUUGUUUAUAUAUUUGAAUAUGUACUUUAUAGACCUGGUUUGGUUGCACCACUCAACGUUAACAUGUGCCCGAAAACGCUUUAAGAGAUCUGGAUUAUAUGGGACAACAUAUCGGUUAUCACACAAAACACCCCUCUUGAUAAUGGUUCUUUGAUCCAUACGACGCCUAUAGAUGGAAAAGCCAGCAUCAUCGAUUUUAGUAACUGAUCCAGUAGGCUUAGGAAAGAAUUUUGUACACCUUUUCUCAUGCAUACAAACAUUUUUUGGAUUGCCGUCACCGCAUGGUCCUUGUAUCAUCAAGUCUCCAACAAUUUCGUACAAAAUUGGAUCCAAGUCCUUAUCCGGUAUCUCCGCUGAUAUAAAUCUAUCUAUGUCCUCGCCUGUUGGUAGUUUGGAUUCGGGUUUCAAGAAAACAACCAUGUGGGCAUGUGGCAAUCCUCUUUUUUGGAAUUCAAUGGUAUACAUCGCUAAAAUAAAAGCAAAACUAUUAGAAAAGUUUAAAAUACAUGUAAUAAAUCGAAUUAGUACCUAUACUUUAAGUAUAACUUGGCAUGAUUUAUAUAUUAUGACUCUUUACUUAUAUUUAAUCUUUUUGACAUACCUGAGUUAACGUGUCCCAUAACGUGGUCUUUCGUUAGAUAAUUCACUAAAUUAUCCAGCUUCAUUUUAAAAAUCCUGCAACAAAUAUCUGGUCGAUCCUCGAUCUUUAGAUCAUGUUUUUCCAAAAACCUCGUUAUCUCAGGCCACUUUGGAUUGCAAGUAAUUGUUAUGAAAAAAUCCGGGUAGCCGUAGUACUUCCAUGUUGCCAUCGCGUCUAGAUAAUGUUUCCUCAUGAAUCUCUUACUUCCCGUGAAUGAAGCAGGUAUAAGCACCUUUUUUCCUUGUCCAGAAAGAUCAUUAUUGCCACGUUCACCAGAUUGUUCAAUCUUAUCAAAGCUGUCACAGCGUAGAUUCUUUUGAUUAUGCCAUAUAUAACGAAGCCUAUUUGAUUCUACCAUCGUAUAUGCGUCAACCAGAAAUUGCUGAUACAAUCUCCCAGACAUCAUAAUGAUUGGGGAUUCUCCAUGCCUGUCUUGAAGACGAAAUGCGAAAAACUCGCGCAUUGUCACGGUUGUGCGUUUCCUUCCAGAUGUAUCAACAUAGCCAAUAUCAAUACCUAAUCUAAAACCAUCUUCACCAUACAGAAACAAUAACGGAUACUGCAAAGGUAAAUAAGCCGGAUGCAACUCACUUAUACGGUAUAAACCUCCAGACUUGCUUUGAAUAACGAUGUCUCUUUUUUCUGUUAACAUAUUGAAAUCACCAGGUAUCAAAGCCGCCACAUCGUUCUCAGUAGGUAAGUUAUGCGUUCGACCAUCAGUAGUUCGGCCACUUGCAAGAACCAACUUAAAACCUUUAGAAUUUUGAUUCCCAACAAAUCGUUCGCGUGCAGUUCUUAAGGCUUUGACAUGAGGAUUAUGAUCAUCUAACAUCUUCUUCAGAAGCUCCACGAUAUCUGCUCUCAGCUUCCUCGAAUUACCAACAUCUCUGAACAGUGGUUUUGAAACUAUUAUUAGUUAUAAAAAUGAAACACUAUAUUGAUAUAGAUAAAUAAUAAUAUUAUAUUAUAUAUAAAAAUCGAAGAUUACCCAUAAGCAUUCAUCCUAUUUUUCACUUCAUUGAUGGUAUCAUGGAUAUAUAAUUGUAGGAAGUUUGGUUGUUUGCCAGGUGCUGGUAACAUAUCUCCGAUCAAAUGAUAAUUUUCACCACACAUUUGGAAUAGAUACGGACCAUUACCGUUGUUUACAGUAUUAUCAACCUUUCCACCAAGUGACGUAAACGAAAACAUCAUAUUGUAUGCUCUUAUGAAUUCACGGAAGUGCUUCCUCGUAUUAUCGCGAUUAUACAAUAGCUUUAACAGCGUUUUUGGGGGAGCUUUCAAUAAAGGUAGCUGAACUUUGCCACUUAGACAGCACAUUGUGAAAACUGGAGUAGAAGAUAGAGAGUGCUUGUUUAUACGUUCUCCAAACCACAUUAAAGCAUGACAAUAGUCACACAUGUAAGAUUGAUCACCAUCAUCAUAAUAACCUACAAUUGAUUUUAAAAUUUUAAAAUAUAAUAACUUUUAUAUACUAAUAAAAGGGAAUUGGUUUCGAUUUGUACCACUUUCCAUCAAGCCAAAAUUCGCGAAUGAAUUAUAUUCCAGAUAAUUCGGUGGUCUAGGUUUUUUUUGUCUUGGUCGUCGUUUGUUCGAAUUACUUGGCGUAACAGCAUCUGAAUCUUUAUCAUCGUUCGUGUCUGAAUCAGUAGCGACAAAACAUAGAACAUCAUCGACAUCAACAGACUCUGUCAAUAUAUCUAUAAAUUUACACAAUCAGAUGAAGUUAGUUACAUAUAUUUAAUAUAAAUCAAUAUAAAAUUGUAUUUAAUCAACAUAACCUUUUGAAAUAUUUAUUGUUGGUAAACCACGCUUCGAUCGAAUGAUAUUCAGUCUAUUUUGUCUGGCUAUUUUAGCCAUACCAACACGUCCAAUAGAUUCUAUAUCAAUGUAUUGAUGAUAAACUGAUUUUGGUAACGUUGGUGCAUACGUUUCAGCCCUUGAAACGAUUGCUGUAUUAAGGAUGAAAGAUGUUCAGUGGGAUAUCAAAAGUAACAAUACAUGCAAUUUUUUCAAAGAAACAGAAACACUUACGACGAUUUGCAACAGGUAUCUUAACGACCCUAGGUUUCGUUAUUCUCUUUUUCUUUGGCCCCAUAGUUUUUGAUUAGGUUUUCUUUUUCUUUUUUGUACGAUAUUACAAUACGUGCAUGAGAAACACUAUUUAAACAUAUGUAGGGUUUUCCUAUAAUUUGUAGGUUUUCAUUUUUUAUUUAUUGAAACAAACCUAAUUUAACAUUUUAGUUUUGUCCUUUUUUUUGAGUUUAAUUUUAUAGAAUAUUUAAUAUUAAUAGAAUAAUCGAUAUCUUAGAUACUUUAACGAUUUCAUGUGUUAAUUUAUGAAACUAUGAUAAUAUUAAAAUAUAAAAUUGCAUAUAUGCACAAACUGUAAUAUUCCACAAUAAAGUAAAUUGUGUUACUACGCAAUUUAUAUAGAGAGUUAAGUACUUGUUUUGAAUUUUUCGUUCUUUGAAUCAAUAAUGCAUCCUAAAAAAACAAACCAUAAAUUCGAAUAUGCAUAAAUAUCAGUACUAAAGUAUAUGAAAAAAAAAAAAAAAAAAAACAACAUCGAGAAUUAUAAGAAUAUCAGUUCGAAGAUUUCAAAACGUAUGUGUUUAUUCAUUGCCGUCUUCCUCUCUUCUUGCUAUUACUUUUUUCGUCAACAUUAGGCGUUUGAACGGCUGAUUCUGAAACUCGUUUUGAUACUGGCGAUGGUGUCAGUGAUGCAACUCUACCUGAGUACCUAAGUUCUAAAUCAUGUUCGAGGGAUCGAAUUCCAUGAUUUUCAAACUUAUUCAACAUAUCUGCAUCAUCGACAACGAUCUCAAAUUUAUAAGUUUGACGUCUGUUAGUCAGAUUCUCCGUUCCUAUUCCGAUUUUGAAAAGGAGCUUCUUCCCAACCAAAUCAGAAAGAGCUCAUGGAAGCACCAAAGUUCUGUCCUGAUCAAAAUAUAAAAAGACAUUACAAAGUAUAUGAUAAUGUGCACAAAGUAUUAUAAAAUGAUAUACCUCAGCAACCUCCUCAGCUAAAGUAUCUGCUUGAACACGGAGAAAUGCGCUAGCGAUUUUAUCAAACAGUAAGAAUCUUAUCUCUUCGCCAGACUCGUCGGAAACAACCAACACUAACUUAUACCUACGAAAAUAUGAAUAUUUGUAAAGCCAAAAAUUAAAUUUUUUCUAAUAACUACUUUGAAUCAAUGAACCAUUUACCUGGCUGUAACAUCUGAGACAGCCUCGCCACAUUCUCUACAAUCAAAUAGCAAGGAAUCGUCAUCAGUAGAAUCAGAUUCUAUUGGAUGAACUGUUUUAUCGCAAGUUUUGCAUGUAAUAUAAUACCAUAUAAGAUUAUAUUCGACUCGAACAACUGUCGCAGCAGUAACACAUUUCAUUUCCUACACUCGAAAAGAAUUUGAUUUAAAUAUAAAAAAACAGAUCAUUCUCAAAUAUAUAAAACAAAUAAUUAUUAUGUAUAAAUUUAAAAUAAACUUAAUGAACACGUACCGUAUCAGCAUAAACAAUACCCUGAAUUGUCUUUCUUUCAUUUCUAUCAAAGAAUUCAUCUUUCCAUGAAACAGAAUUAGUGGAUGAUGAUUGCACCUUAUGUUCAUUGGAUAUCACAAAUGUAUUGGUUGGCAACCUAACAAAAGACAUUCCUUUUAGUAUUCAUGAUAGCUCUAAAAGUAUACACAAACAAACAGAUUUCAUUACUUACAAGGCUCGAAAAUCUUCAAUUUGUUUAAAAUGUGGAUCGAGAAAUAUCUGUAUUGCGUUGAAAGAGUUUGAAAUACUGUAAACUCCUACAAGAAAUUAGAAGUAAAGUAUUUAAAAUUUAUAAAAAAGCGUAUAUGAUAAACUUAUUUAUAUCACAACUAUUAUCAAUACAAUUAAGUUCAAAUAUACCUUUCCAUUCUGAUACUGAAGCAAAUCUAACAACACACACGAUCACAGACGCAGUAUUUUUCGUCACGUAGUCGAUUACUUUCUUUCCGAAAUUUCCCCACAGCGUACAAGUCAAGCAAUUAUCACUAUACGUAAUCAACAAACUAACUAAAUUAUAUAUGAUUUGACUAAAUAUUAUUUCAUAAAUUAUAUCAUUAUGAACUCACCUGGCAUUACGUAGAACAACGUCCAACUUUCUUAUUGGUUUUCCUUGAGCGAUAACGUCAGAAGUUUCAAGACUAACAACCUGCCCUAUGACAUCUACAUUAAUAUUUAUAAAGAAUUAGUACAGAUAAGAUGUAUUAUAUCACAGUAUAACUCGAUAAAUAUAGUAAACAACAUAUAUCUAGCAUACCUAUUAAAACACUGUUGUCAUAAUCCCCAUUACUUAUAGUUGAAAAUUCCUUAAAAUAUCUAUAAGGAAGUUCCCUAGGAAAGUCAUCACAAGGUGUUAUAACAGUAGUCCUGUAGAAACUUAUUUUAAAAGAUAAAGGACUUGUCCUAUAUGCAGUAGUGUAAUCUUUGAACGUGAAGUUGCUUAAGAAUAUAGUACGGCCUUCCGUCAAUUCUGAAUUAAAUUGCUCCACCAAAUCUCCAUCAACAGUUGCAUAAUCCUAGAACCCUGAUAUAGUCAAAAACUUAAUUAAUAUUUAAGUUAUUCAUAUCAUAAUUUUACUAUACGAUGCAUGUUCAUAUAUAUAGAUAUAAAACACUAACAUUGCCUACCACUUCAUCUGCUAAUACCAUCUCUAUGGAUGUAACCUUAUUUUUACGAUAUGAUUUCCAGAGAUUGAUUAUCUGAAACUUUAUCUUGUAACGAUCACUCGUUCUAUCAAUUUCGUCUAUCAGUGCAGAGACGAUUGUUUUCCGCUUGAGAUAGGACUUCACAACUUUCUUAGUGUCAACACUAUUAUCUAUUGACGACUCCAUCUUCUUCUUUUUCCCGAAAAUUCUUGAACCGAUUUAAUGAGGAAGAUUAAUCAGUCGUACAUAAAUAAAUAUAUAUAUAUAGAUAUAUAUAUAUAUAUAUAUAUAUAUAUAGGAAUUGAUAAAAACCCUAGGUCUUUUGGAUCGAUGCAAAUAAAUAGAGUAUCGUAUCUUUUAUUGAUUUCUAUAUAUCGAGUUCAAUUUUAAUACUUAACAUAAUUUAAAUGUAAAUUUUACUUAUUCCAUUUCUCAUAUAAGUAUAUUUGUUAUUUUUAUCCAAAAAUCAGUUGCGUGAAAUUAUGUUUUCAGUCAUUUUAACAUAAACAUAAAAUAAACAUUAUAAUGAUAAUGAAAUUAGCAUCUUUUGUACAUUUUCCUUUUUUAGAAAUAUAUUUCGAACUAUAACCGUAUAUUAUACUUUUGUAAUUUCAUUAAAAUAAUCAUAAUUUCCAUAAUUCAUAAAUUUUUAUUUUUUGUAAAUACUACGAAGAAGGAAAAGACACUCGAGUAUGAUGAGUACAAUCAUUGGCAAUUUUAAUAUAUGUAACAAUAGCGAUAUAUAUGAAUUUCAUUGAGAAUUUCAACUCGGAUAUAAAUAUAUAUACUGUAUAUGCAUGUUUAUGAAAGAUAUAUAUAUAUAUAUAUAUGCACUUUUCCUCCAAGUAGAAAGUGAUAAACUGGUAUUCGCUAUCAAUGCACUUUUCCUCCAGUUGGUCCAAAGUAUAACCUUCCCAGGAAUGAAACUUGCCAACGUUUAUAACACGACCAAUUAUUUCUGAAACGAAAGACAAUAGUAAGCUCAUUAUUGUUUCUUAUACUUAAACAAAAUAUAAAUCAUAUAUCAACAUACUUACCAACUAAAAAGUCGUCACUGUAUGUGCGAUUCAAGAUUACACGGAAGUCGAUAAAAUCAAAAAAAUUCUGUUCGCAAUGAAAACUAUCACCAUCUACGACAGUAUGUGAACCCAAAACUAUUUUAAAACGACGCGAAGUUGUCCUAAAAACACCAUAGACAUGAGCAACCUGGAAACGGCGAAUCUUAAUCCAAUUUACAACAGGAAACUGGUCUUCAAACAAAGCAUAGCAUGCGGUUGGUACAAUGGCAUGUAUUUUAUCACCCUAGCAUAUGAUAUAAAUUGUUAAAGUCUAAUUAUCACAAUAGUAAUAUGUUAAAAAAAUAUUAUAAAUGUAAAUAUAUAAAACUGGACUAUAUAGUAAACAAACCAGGUCAUCACAUAGCACAGCCUCAAGACGCUUUUCAGAUGGGUGCAAACUAUGAGUCCAAACUCUCAAAACUUUAACAUUAAUCUCAAACUCACACGGACCAUCGGUUAGAUGUAUGAAUUUUAUUGGAAACGCUUGAAUCUCUUGAGACACCAUAGCUGUAUUUGAAGAGGAGUCGUUGGAACAUUCAUCACCAUUAUCAAUUUCAGAAUCUGAAGUAAAGAGCCUACGUCGCACGCAAAUGCGUUUAGGGGAGCUUUAACAAAGAUACCAUCCACAAUAUUUUGUGAUGUUCCAUGGAAAUCAUAGUUGAGAUAUAGUCUUUUUCCCAAUGGACGUUUGGGCUGAUGAUCAGCAGAACAUUCGGUUUUCACUGCCGAUGCAUCAUUCCGAAUAUCAUCAACAUCAUCACUCAUGUAUUCUCCAUUUUUCUCAUCAACAUCAUCAUGACUCUCGUCCUCGUCUCCUUCUUCAUCACAACCAUCAGACAAUUCGUUCGUCUCAUCAUAUUCAUCGUCUUCAUUUUCUUCAUCGGUUUCCUCACAAUCAUCACUUUCUUCGUCCUCGUCUUCUUCGUCAAUUCCAUCACUAUCAUCACUAUCAGUACUAUCUUCGUCAUCUUCCUCGUCAUCAUAUUCGUCGCCAUCGUUAUCAUCACUGUCUUCGUCUUCUUCUUCGUCAUCGCAACCAUCAUACCAGUCGUCAUCAUCAUCAUUGUUAUCAGUAUCCGGUUGGUCACUACCGCUAUCAUCACCAUCAUUGCCAUCACCUUUGUUAUCGGUUACAAUGUCGCCAUCACCAAUGUCGUCAGUUCGAUCACCAUCAGUUGGAUCAUCUUUUUUGUAAUUUGAUUCGUCAGGGUCAGCACCAGUAGGACCUUCGUAUAUAUAUAUUUAUACAUUGUUGAUAUAUUAGUCGUCCCUCUAUAUAGAUGUUUAAUAAAUUAUCAACUUGAAGACUGUUCUGAUCAAGAGACUUACCGUUUUGCUCAUGUUCAUUACAAACACCAAUGCUUCUAUUAGCUGAGUCGCUAAUCAUGUCAUGUUCGAAUUCAUUUGGUCCUAUAUCAAACCAAAUUAUGAAUAUAUUUGUAACGUCUAACAGAAAAAGAUAUUACUAUAGGAAUUUUUUACCAAUUUCAUUGAUUAGAUGACAGGGCACAUCCCACAUACCCGACUGAACAUCUGUGCUAUCUCCAUGAGCUGAUUCAGAAUACAAUAUUCCAAACCCAAACACCUUAGAACCCAAUUCGCGAGGCCUACUCCUCUUUCUUAAACCACAAGGUAUUUUGGACGUAUCUAUAAAUAAUAAGACAUAUAUAAUUUAUUUAUCAUUCAAUGAGUUUUUUAUUUAUUUUUUUAAUAUAACACUCAUACCGUGAAUAUGUGGAAUAUUAUACAAUCUUGAAGGAUGUUUAGGGAGACGAUCAUAGGAUUGAUAGAGGCGUAAUCUCUCGAAUGCCGUUUCAAGUGAUGAAGUUCGAUCAACAGUAUUAUGAAGAACUGUAAGAUAAGAAAAAAUUGUAUUUAGAUUUUUAUUCCAAACAUCAUAAGCAAAAACGAACAUGUCUCUUUGCAAGAAUUUAUAGUAUAACAAAAGAUUAACGACAAUGUUUUAAUGGCUUAAAAAUUAAGAUAAAUUUUCACGUAAAAGCAUAAACUUCAGUUUAUUAUAUUAAAAAUAAGCAAAAUAAAAACGAAAACCAUUAAGUUACCAUUGUUAUCAGCAAUAGAGGAUGAAUCAAGCAAGAUGUCACAUGAGAUCUUCGCGUUAUGUGUACCCAUUGUGAUUUAACCCUAAUGAGAAAUCGAGUUAUAAUUAUAAGCUAAUAGAAUGGUUUCUUUUUUUUUAUUAGUUGCCUAGAAGGGUGAGAGAAUUAUCGUAAGCUUACGAUCGUAUAUAAAGCCGUGGUUUUAGGGUUUUAAACGAUUAUAUCUAUGGUGCACAUAUUUUUUCCUUUUUAUUAGUAAAUAAUAAUUCCUAUUAAAGAUAAAUCCUAGAAUAACUAAAAUGUAUAGAUCACGAUUUUAUGUUAAAUUAUUUAAUUUCAAAUAUGUAUAUUUUCUUAUUUGAGUAUAUACAUAUCAGCGAUUAAGAAGAAGUGUUCUAAAUCAAUACAAUUUAUUCACGGAAGUUUUCUUUAUUUAUGAAUAACUACCAAGAACUACAAAAUCGAUGGAGUAAAAUGGCUAUUAUUAAAAUGCAAAUUUUCUCAAUUUACACGGGCAUUUCUAGAAGUACAACUAAUUUAAGAGAUAAUUUUUUAAAGAUAAGUACCGGGUUUUACAGAAAUCAUUAGCACAUAACUAUAUGCGAGUUACAUUUAUAUUUAUCUUUCAUUAAUUUAUUUAAUAAUUAUUAGUUACUACAAUUAUUUGGAAGAAUUAAUUUUCAUUUAUAUAUCAAAAAAUAACAUUAUUUAGUUAUUAUGACUGCGGAUGUGACGAUUAUGUGGUUAAACCUAUUCUGUAAAACAUCUUAAUAUAUAUCUUACAUAAGAAUUUGUAAUAAUUAACAGUAAUGAAUAUAGUUUAAAACACCAUAAUUAUUAUACUGCAAAGCCAGAAUUUAUUACAUAAUAAAAAAAAAGAGGAUAUCACUCCUUUAAAUUCAGAACUUAAUAUAAGAAAUACAGAAAGGUAAUUUUCCAGUGAUUAUGCGUUCCCCGUUGCAGCCGUCUCAGCAUUCUAAUCUUCAUAUUCAUCAUCCAAAGGGGUAAAAUCAACUGAAGUUUCAAGUCUGGAACAAUAUGACAAUAUUAUAAAAUCACAAAAUAGAUGUCAAUAGAAUACAUAUACAGGAUAUAACAUCAAAUAUGUAAUUUAUAUACCUCAUUUUUGCUAUUGCCACUUCUGGAGUAGGAGGAUCCUCGAGAAUAUCAGAUAUGAAUCUUUCCGAUUCAACAAUCCACUCAUCUAAUUACAUAUACAUAUUCAGUAUGCAUGUGGAAACAAUAUAUUAGUUAAACUUCUGAUUAAACGCAUGUGGUUACAAUAAAUUUGUUAAUCUUCUGAUUAAUUUCUGUAUUGGAUAGAUAUUAAUAGUUAAUAUUUACAUACCUCUCCACAUAUUGAAAGAGAAAAAUUGCAAUACAAUAAUGUGUCUUGAAGACUUAUCACGAUUCGUCCACAGUUCUUCAAAUUUUCUUGCCAAGUUAUCCCAAGUACAUUUCAAGGAAUUUCCACUGUAUAUAUUUACACCAACAUAGAAGAUAAUUAACAUAUUUUAAUAUAUAAAGAAAUCCAAGUCUGACAUCAGAUAUUAUGAGGACAAGUUGUAAUUACUCAAGAUCUUCGAGUACAAAACGAAUAAGUGGACGUUCUGUGGGUGUAUCCGAUGUAUCAGACAUAUGAACUCCACUUUGAAGUUUCUGAACAAAAGUGACAAUCUUGAGAACAUCAACUGAAAAAUUAAACAAGUAAGUUUUAAAAAUUCAAUUAUAAGUUAAUGAGAUAAACCAAGAUAAUAACCUGCAUAUAGGAAACUUACCAAGAUAUCAGCCAGUUUGAAUCGACGCAAGCAAAAUAUCUAUGUAUGCACAGAAAGAGUAUAUUUCUCUAGAAGACUUCGGAUCGGUUUUCUCGGUGAUUGUAUCCUCAUUCAAACGUAUAUGACAAAUGUUUGAUGAUAUGCUUGGAUGGGGUAAUCUGUCGGUAACUGCAAAAUUACCAAGAAAAUACCACUUUCCUUCGGGCAAUACAUCCUCGAAUUUGUCAAUUAUUUCAGAUGGCAUGGUACAGAGGAUGCGAUUGUCCUACACAGUUUUAGUAAAAAAGAAUCAAUAAACGAUUACAUUCCCAAAACAUGAACAUGGAUAAAUUUUAAAAAUCAUACAAACUUACAAAUUCAUCAGCGAGAACUAAAUUCCGAUGAGGGUAAUGAAUGUUAGUGAAAUCAUAAUAAUUUCGAACAACUUGGACACAAAUACGUUGCCCGCCGUUUAUCUUCUGAAGUUCAGAAACUCUAUUACAUGGAGCCAUUCAUUUUUUUUUUUGGUUUGGAGAUUAAAAAUGAGACAAAUGAACGUUUUUUUAUAACCCGGGUUUAAUAUACUUUAGAAACGACGGUUUUGCUUUUAAAGACGGGUUUUAAAUACCUAUGCAACGAUUCAGGCUUAAUAUACUUUUGAAACGACGUUUAUGUUUUUAAAGACAGGUUUUAUAUACUUAAACUACGUUUCGCUAAAAAUAACAAAAGUAAAUGACAAUUGAUUCAAAUGUGAAAUUAAGUAAAUAUUUAAGAAACGAUUUGGCAAACUGUCCUUUGAUUGUCCUCAAGCAAAGUGAACAAAUGAGAGAAAAUGUUUAAUGCAUUGGAGUUCAUAUUACUUAGAGAAAGAGUGUAUUACUAUAUGACUUCAAUUCUCAUUUGUCUAAAUACAAUGUUCCAGAUAAAUAGAAUAACCCUAAAACUAAUAAGAAACAAUGUCUAUAAAUUAUAAUAGUAAAUAUUGAAACAUUAUAGUAUAUUACAAAAAAACGAAAACCUGCAAGCUUUAAAUUCAGAUGAUACAGCCUUAUUAAUUUUAAAUAUUUCGGAUCUUCGUAAUAGAAGAUCUUGGUAAAUCAUACUUGAAACCACAAUCCUUAAUUGUUUUCGGUUCAUUAGUCCAAAAUCGAAUAAUUACAAAUUUAUAAAUAAAUAAACGUUAGAAUAGUUAUAUAAUUUUUGGGUAAUAAUAUUUGAAUAUUCGUAUGUUUUUACAAUUUGCUAGUGUAACAUGCAAGGGUCUAUCAACUGAUAGAAUAUUACUUUUCAAUGCAGAAUAAAGCAAAUCAAUCUGUAAUAAUUUUUGCAUGAAAUAACUUUGACAGGGGAAUCUAAUUAUUUAUAAUCUUUGGCAAGUUCAACUGACAUAAUUAUACCGCCUGAAAAGUAACACUGUGAUAUGCACUAUUUAUAAUUUUAUGAUUAUUCAUUCAUACAAUAAUAUUUUGAUUUAUCUGUAUGUAUUUUUUCUUUCAACGUUGUUUGUAACCACGUAAUAACAACGUUGAUAUCAACAUUUCCGGUGAUUUCGUUCUUAGUGUUUCGCACAAAUCUGAUCAAUGUCAUAGCCAACAUUGAGAUAUUAUGUAAAUUUUUUUUAAUAACUAAACACUAAACAAAGCCUAGAUUCUAACCUAAAAAAAUGUGUUUAAUUAUUCUGUUAAUAAGAAUAAUGAAAAACUCUUUUAUACGCGUGUUUAAGGAUGUAGUCUUUAGGAUUUUAAACUAAUAAUCUUGGUACGUGUGAGUUUAAUAAUUUUAAAUAGUUACUAAUAAUUUUUCAAAGCGCUAAACCUUAAAGAUGAGUAAAAUGUAUAGUUUACAAUUAUUUCCUAAAUGGCUAAAUAUUGAAAUUUUAAAAUUUUAUUAUUUGCGUGUAAAUAUGUGACCAUUUUGGGUAAAUAGAAUUCCAGUCAAUAUUUUUGGCACAUACGUUUACUUUUCUAUUUUGUAUAACUACCAAUAACUACUAAAUUUCUAGAUUUUCAUAUGUACUAUUUCUUCAUAUUAAAAAUAUGUGAUUUAUUUAGAUUCACAUUUUUUAUGACUAUACAAGUAUGUAAGAUUUAUAAGAUAAAAUCUUCUAAGGUUACAGAAAAUAUGAUAGAGAUAUAUAUGAAACUUUCAAAUUAAUGUAUAUCUGGUUUAACUAUUAAUUAUUAUGAAUACGAAUGUAGUGUAUAUAUGGUUUAACUAUUUUUUUCUAAAGUUAACUAAUCAGAUAUUUUAGAGCAGAUUAUAUAAAUAACAGCAAUUAAAGUUUUUAGAUUAAAAACAACAUAAUUAUUUAAACGCAGUACCGAGUUUAAGUUAAAACAUAACUAAGCAUAGUAACGAUAACAUCACGCCAUUAAGUCUUAAAUAUAUGAUAAGAGAAAUACGAAAACGAUAAACUAAUAGAACCGCCAUUUAUGCAAGUCACAUUCCAUGGUUUCCUGCAUCCUCCAUUCUCUUCUUUAUCCUUUCCCAAAUCCUAUCCAUUAUAUUUAUAUAUAAGUAUAAUAUUAGUUAAAUAAACGAAAUUUUAAGUAACCAAAAGUUUCUUAUACUUACUUCCUACGGUAGAUGAGAACCUCGUCAAUAGGUGGAGUAACAAAGAAACGUGAGAACCCAAUAUUCUCAUGAUCAUGGAUGGUUAUUUCAUCUAAAAUAAAAGUCAAGUGAAGAAAUCAGAAUACAAAUAUUUCUACGUUUAAUUAUUUAGGUUAUUUGCAUGAUAUAAAACCUCAUUAAAAUUUAUAGAUCACAUACCUUGAUAUUUGUUGACGACCCAAUCUGUCAAUACACAAAUCGCAACCGGACCAUCUACGCCUACAAUCUGGUUCUUGAUAUCAACAGCGAAAUCACCAUGAGCCAAGAAUUUAACAGUCCAAACCUUUUUCAAAAUUAAAAUUAAUAAUUAUUUUUCUCUUUAUUUAUCAUAAUUUAUAUGAGUCAAACUUAAAAUAUUCUUACUCAAGAUUCUUGAUAGUGAACUUCAGCGUUUUUUCAGUAUUUCCAUUUGAGGACUCAGAUGUUAAGAGUUCACCAACAUUUACCAACACUCCAAUAAGAUCUGCAAAAAAUAAAGUACUUUGUUAGCCAUGCAUGGAUAAAAUAAAAUAAAUUUAAAACAACUAAACUAUUGUAAAACAUUUAUCGGGUUUCGGUUUUUAAAGAGUGUAAAUCAAAAUCAUACCGACUGGGUACAAGUGAUUAUAGGGACAUUUAUAAAUCUCAUCAAAAUCAACGAAAUUCAUGAAGGGAUCUUCAGACAAUGGCCUGAUCCGUGAAGCCUUGGUCUCCGAGUUGAGAGUGAUCUGGGAUUUGUGUUUAGUAACUCUUUCCUUCCUUUCCCAAUCCGACCGAAUCAAGCCGAAAUUGGUCAGUCUUACCCAUCCUUCUUCAGGGCAAACCCUCUCGAAGUACUCAUAACACGUAGCACCACAAGUACCAUAAAUUCUAGAGCCCUGAAUUAUAAACAAAUAUAAUGUCAAUCGCAUUAUAUAACAUGUUAAAGUACAAUAAAAACAUAUAUGUUAUCACGAGCUUACAUGCUCAUCAACGAAAACGAAUGCUAAGCCUGGAUUCCCGUUUUGAUGAACAAUAAACCAUCGCCUCAAGACCUUGACGCCAAUGUUCCAGUCGGUCCUCCAUGCAUGCAAAUCACGAACUGCAUCAUAUGAAUCCAUCACAAAGGAUAAGGACUUGGAUUUUUUUGUGUUUUUUUUUUCUUUUCUUUGGGUUGAUAUGUUUAUUUGAAGAACAACUAUUCUUCUUGUUAAGAUAAUAUAUAUAUAUAUAGGGAAUGAACGAAAUAAGUAAGUAGGUAGAUUCAAUGAAUUUUGUCAAUGGAUUAUGUAUAUUUGCAACUUUUCAGAACAUACUGUUUAAAUUUUUAUGUAAAGUUGCGACUUUUCAAAAAAAUAAUUACUGAUUCAAAGACUUAUAUGAAUCAUGCAUUGGUCUAUCAAUCACUGAUGUAGUCUGAAUAUUCCCAGUAGCAUGCAUUGGUGUUUUUUUUUUCAAACUUUAAUUUGAUAUAUGUAUAUUAUGUAUUUACUUAAACAGCGAAACCAAGAAAAUUCAAUAUUAGAGAGAUAAUACCAAACUUUACAUAAAUAUCUACUUGAAUAAUGAUAAAUUUACAUAUUCAAGAUCCAUUUAGUAUCUAAAUUAAAGAAAAUCGUACUUAAACAAAAAUAAGAAUAAAUCGUACAUAUUCAACGAUAUCCAUUUAAAUUAGUGGGAAAUUUUCUAUAUUUUAUUAAAAUGUUAUGAUAUUUCCAUAUAGACACGCUAAUACAUGAAUUCAGAAGUUAAAUUAUGUUAUAUUAACAAUCUUCCAAUUAUACACAAUAGUUUUUAAAAAAAAAUAAAUACAUACAUUUUUUAGGUCAUACUUUUUAAUGUAUAAUAAUUACCAAAUAUAUUUAUUAUAAAUGUUUUUGUUAAUGAAAAUUAGAAUAAAACAGUUCGUACGAAUCAUAUUUAGAUAUAAGGAUUCUGAGUGAACCAAUUCUAUUUUAAUAUUAAACGAUAAAUACCCAAAAAGAUAUUGUUUUAAUCAACUAAUAUGAAUAACAUGUUAGCUAAUAAUAAAAAUUGGGAAAAACACACUUUAAACCAUAGAUAUAUUUUAAUCCAACCAUGAAUAUUUUAUCUUAGACAUUGAUAAACAUAAAAACUCGUGAUUUUGGAGGCUUGCAGCAAAGUAUUCUUGAACAGAUUCACCACAAUCCAUUAAGCAUAUCCCAUCAUAAAGGAGCCUAUUGGAAAUAUUUAUUAAUAAAAUAAGAAAUAAUUUAUUGAUAAACAAUGCUAAUAAUAUAAUAAGUAAAUAAGUUUUAUACCUCGUUCUGAGAGCAGCAACAGAGUGAAAUUUCUGGUUUAAAAAAAACUUAGACGCAGGAGUAACUGACAAUGUUACAGAACCAUUUCUGAUAAUGCCCAAUACACUUGUACUGAUCAAGACAAUAUUAGUAUUAUUGUAAAUUCUAAACUUUUCUUCAAAAUUUUCUGCUUGUUCUCCCCACAACACCAUGUUGAUCUCUAUUCCAGGACCGUUUACAAAUCUAAAUCAUGAAAAUAAUUGAUAGACUGUUUAGUAUUUUAAAUAUCUCAAUAUCAAAUAAAUCUUAUACUCAAUCUGUCUAAAAACAUACCGUUCCAUUAGAAGGGUUAGUACAAGCCUCCUAACAACAACUUGACCCUCAAUUCGACCAUCCGUCUUGUUCACAUGUUUCACAUAAGCAAUGAUAUCUACAAUUCGAAUAUUAAUUAAUUAGAUUUCUAUAACUAUCAAAUGAAGUAAUGGGUACAUAAUUUUAAAACAAUACGUACCAUAUAGUCUACACACCAAAUUGUCUGACCUUGAUAAAUACCCAUAAUCCACAAAGAGAAAUUUCUCCCUAGGUAUUAUUUGUACUCCAGAUGCUAAAGGCGAUAUCCUUGUUCACUCAGUUAGCACAAUCAUGAACUGAUUAUUAGUAAUCUUAUAACUCAUAUCAUUAUGACGUACAUUGAAAGUAAACAUCUCAAUGAGACUGCCUUCAAACAAGUGAUCACCAUAAACACGUAGAAUAGAGGAAUGAACUGAAGCUUGAAUUAUAUUUUCCUGUUUGUAAUACAAUAAUUAAAAAUCUAUUUUUAUAUUAUGAUAAACAAACCAACACAUAGCAAUAUGAUAACUUUAAUAAUGUUAACCUGAGCAUCUACUAAAAGAAGAUUGUGUCCCCAGAAACCGUUUUUUUAUCACCGUAUAUGGAUUCCCACUUUCUAAUAAGACGUGCUAUAGUACGACGGCAGGAGCGCUUUGUGGUGAGUUUGUCGAAAGUUAAGUAGUUCAUGAUGAUACCAACCAAUCAAGAUUCGUUCUACAGAUGAAAACGAAUUCAAUAAUAUGAAAACAAACUAACAAAGAAUCAAUUCAAAAUUUUACGCAGAAACAUAACAUAUCUUACAGCAAUAAGCGACUGAUUGCAAUGUGGGAUUAUCAAAUACGAAUAGAGACCUAAGUCUUUAAAUAGCUAGCCUAUGACAUUUUUUUUAAAGAGAUUAAUAUAAGUAAAUUUAACAAAUUUUGUGAACCAAUAUACAGUAACUAAAUUAUUUUAGAUUUUUUAAGAUGAGAUAAUAGAAGGUAAUAUCACAAUAUGAGAUUUGUACAUAUUCUAAUUAUUUUUCUUAAUAUUUAUAAUAAUUACUUAAUAAUAGAAAUUAUGUAAUUGGUUAUUUUAAUUUUGUCAAAUUUUAAUUUUUGGCAAAUAUACUAACGAUAAACGUAUAUUUUCGAUUUCAUAAAUAUGAUUCGAUAAACAAAAUAAGCAUAGACUUAAUAUAAAGUUGAUAAUGAAGUAUUAAAAGACGAAAGAAAUACGAAUAUGUUCAUAAUGAUAUAAUAUAAAAAACAUCACUACAAGAACAUUAGUUUUUUCCCCUCAUCUCGAAAUCCAUCUUCUUUGUUGAUGACAAAGCUGCUUCAUCAUCAUCAGUUCCUAGAUUAAUAACCACUUUUGAUUUUUCUUCUUUUUUCCAAAACCUGUAAACAAAAAUAGCUUUUUUUAUAAUAACAAAUAAUAAAUAAUAAUAAGUUUUUACAUUACUAUAAUUACCUUUGAGCAAAAGUUAUGGCUCGUGGGAAUCUAGGAUUUAGCUCGAACCUAGAUACUCCUCCCUUAGACAUUAGAUAGAUACGACCUACAAAAUAAAUUUAAUCAUAUAUGAUAAGAACUUAUAUAAUUACGAUUAUUAAUUACUCUUAAACAUUAUGUUAGAAUAAAAGCAAACCUUUUUCAUUUUUAACAGACCAGUCCGAUAGAAAACAUGUCAGUGGUAAUUGUUCAUCAGUCCAGAACUUGUCAUUGAAUUCGAUAGCAAUCUGUCCUAACGCGGUACAAUCCAAGAACAAACCACUAUGCAACAAAAACAAAGCAUCGUUAUUUUUGCAUAUUUCUACAUUCAGAUUAUAAGAAAAAAAAACGUACUUGUGAUCUUUAAUUGUAAAGGUGAGACUUGCUGUUUUUUUUUCCUGUCCGCUUGAUAUACUUGUUAUCGUCUUUUACAGUUAUCAGCUCGCCAAUAGAAAUGACAACUCCCAAAAUGUCUUUAAUUUUUUAAAAUAAAAACAAUGUAUUAGUAUACAAAAGUUAAAUAUAUAAGACAUAAAUAAUAAAAACGUAAUGAAAGAUAAAAUAUACCAAUGGGUUGAUCAGGUUCCGUUUUCUGGCCAAGUAUGUCAGCAAAAGUGUAUGACCCUACCGAAUCAUCUUCUGAAAUUGGAUUUGUAUCGACGAUAACGGUGUUCAUACAUAUCUUGAUACUAAUGCCAAUUAGAGUGUUUGGUUCUUCGAGUGGAUCAUCGAAUACGAUAAAUUCUGAGAUACUUUUAUGGUCUCCUUCUUCGAUUGCCUUCUCAUAAUGUUUACAUAGAUCUUCAUUAUAUACAUAGGCUUGAAUUCGUUCACCCUUUGUAUAGAAAAUGGUUAAAGCGGUAGAAAAUAUUAUCUAUAAAACUGAACUUAAUGUAAAGUAUGUUAUAGUUUUAAAAUAUGAAAUACCAACCUCUUCAUCCAUCAACAGAAAUUGCAAAGAAUCUACUCCCGGUCCAGACUUCUCAACCCAUUUUUUUAAUACCUUAACUCUAAUACGCCAAUUGGUUUUAUCAUCAUGUAGAUCAGAAAUGAGAUUGUACGAAUCCAUUACCUGUAAUCAGACUAUGAGAAUUUUAUACUUCGAAGUAACUUAUCUAAAAAUCAAGAUCAAGAUAUAUAAAUAUACCAAUGUUAGACGUUAAGACAUAAUAUUAAAUUCGCUCGAUAGCCACUACGAAAACAACACCAACCUCAGAAUCACGAUUUAAUGUUUUAAAAUUUCCCUAUAUUUUAUAUCUUUACAAUCGUGAGAACCGAUUUCAGUAUAUACAUUUGAAUAACAAAAACAACAAAAAAACUUAAGUAGAGAUAUUCUGGAUAUCAUAAUCGGGAGGAAAUCCUAAAAAUAUCGUCACAAUCAUAUAAAAUCUAAAUUAAAAUAGAAAUAAAAGGUAAAUUUCUACAACACAGGCAAACAAAUCAACUAUUUUACAAUCCGAGGAGAAAAAAUCGCAUACCUUGAGCACAAGAUGCCAGUAAUUGCGAGAUAGAAAGCUCUGUUUGUUGCUUUUUUUUAGUCUGAAAUCGCCGUGUAUUAACAAACUUAGGAAAUAACGAAAAUAAUAUAAUAAACUAAGAUAUCAUAAUAAAUAUGGAAAUAUUAUAAUCAUUAAAUUAUAUACAUUGGCCCAUAACUUUGGGCUUUACCCAUGUGCUAAAAGGUUUAGAUUAAGUUGGCUUUGGUAAAAGAAUAAUCAAUCGUUCAAGGUGUAGGUAAGACAGAAAUAGAACACUAUGAUAUCACGUCCAUAAAACAUCUAUAAUCGAUUCCAUAGAAUAGAUAGUUGAACUAAAGGAAGCAUUACAAAUUAAGAAGAAAAUUCUAGAAACAUACAAAACCAUAAUGCCGAGAUAAAAGUUUGAUGAAUGAAUAUCCUAAAAGAUAACUAAAAAAUAAUUAUCAUUAUAACAUAUAAUAAAUGCUCAAUAGUUGGCAUAUAGAAAAAUCAAGUGCUUGGUGCAGUUCCAAACAUGCACAGGAUUCACAAAGGCCUUUCCAGCGAGAAGAAACUUAUACAAAUCACGCAAAACAUAGGAAGAGGUCCACUCACUCGCUGCAUGAAAAUCAGCAAUAUACUGAUCAUCAUCUUCAGAAACAAUUCCUAUAGCAUAGCAAACACCUUUAAAUGUUGAAUAUCGAACAUUGUUCACAGUCCUUAGAUCCUCAAAACAACAUGCUCCUCUCCUCACCUUCAACAAAAGUCUUAAAUAGUAAAGAUCACCAGAUGUUAAGGGACAACUCUCCAACAGAAACACUUGUGAAAUUCGAGAUAAACGCCGUCUCCAACAUGUUCGCUCAAUAUCCCAAGCCCACUUUGAAGCAAAUUGUGGAUACGUCAACUCCCGUGCUUCAGGAUGAAGACAAUUACAUUCCAUCCAAGCUUCCAAUUUGCUCUUUUUUCAGAGCUAGACGUUCCAUCAUCUUCCGAUGAUACACACGGCGGAGAUGGAAGGUGAACAGGUAGGCAUCCAACACCUAUAGAGGUUAAGCAUAAAUAUUUCAAUAUUUUGGAUGAUAAUCAAAACAUAUAAACUUAUGCUAAGUUAUUGCUAUGUGGUUUUGGUGAUAUCAAACACAUCAUUAUAAUGAAUAAUAAUCAAAACACAUUACCUCUUAGAGACAUAUUCCAGUAAGUGUAUAUAACGUAACACCGAAAAAGAGAGUCCUGAAAAUAUUUUAAAAAAUAUGUAUGCAAACAUUAUGAGAAACAAAACUACAUAUAUAUAAUACUAAAAUAGACAAAACUAAAGCAUAUAAUACUAAAGUACAUAAUACGAAAGCACUCUAAAAAAGACAUCUAACAGUCAAAGAAAUACGAAUAUAAUAAAAUAUUGAAACCCCAAAGCCAAAGAAUUAUGAUACAAAUUAAGAUAAUGACAAGAUGAUGAUCUUCUUAACUUAACAUGGAUUUAUUAUAAACCAAAUGAUAGUAAAUCAAACAGGGUCAAUAAAAAACGUAUAGAAUGCGUUUAAAAACAAUUACACGAAACCUAGAAUCUGGAUAUAAGGAAGAAUGCGUUUACAACUAUAAUAUUCUCUUCACAAGAACAGAGUCAGAAGACUACAAUAUAAAAACAGUAACAACAUAAAAACACACAAAAAUAAUAAAUUAUGAAAACGACGCAAAGAAUGAAGGAAUUGCAUAUUCGAAAGUUUAACCUAGUUUUUUUUUCUCAAGCAAUAUAAAAAAACGAAUAUAGGGGACAUAUUUAUAUAGUUUUUCAAUAAAAGGGUUUCCACUGCUAGAGUUUCGGUUAGACUGAAUAAUUGUUUUCCUAUUUAGGUGAAAUUUCCAUUUUUUAUAUACGUAAAUUAAACAUUUUUAAAAAUUAUUUCCGGAUUGAUCUUUGUAAUUACCUUAAAACAAUAUGAACAGUCUAUUGCUUACAAGGAUCAUCUAGAAUAUAAUUUGUAUUAAAAAUAUCAAUUACUCUAUUUACAAAGCAACAGUAAGAUCAUAGAAUAAAUAGAACAUAGAAUCAAUUAAAAUUAAUCAAAUAAUAUCAUAUCGUCUGUUUCUUUUAAAAAAUGUUUAAUUUGUAAGCACACAAAGCAUCUUUGCAGAUCUAUUGCUAUGUGGAUGAGACAAGUCGGUUUUAUCUUUUAAAAAAAUAAUUGUAAACAAUACUUGUAUGGAUAAUGGUGUGAAUAUGUAGACCAAUUCAUGAAUAUAUAGAACGAAUAUGAUGAGCACGGGAUCCACAUUACAUUAAAAAUAUUCGAUAAUACACAAAAACACAUAUAUAAAAGACUCAAAAUAUGAUAUUAAUCUAAUUCAUAUUAUAUAGCCAAAACAGAGAAGAACAUUCAUAAGAAAAUUCAAAAACAAUCAUUACAAAUCUUGUAGAAAAUUGAAAUUUAUAAUUGAUUUAGGAAACCAUAAUAGCGAAUAUAAGGUCGUGACGAAUAACAUGAAAGGCAAAUCAAAACAUAUAAAAAACUAACGAAUCCAUAACACCAAAUAAAAGGUUCUGUUGAAUAUAUUAAAAAGAUAUCUAAAACAUUAUCAGAAACAGAACAUAUAAUGGAUAUUCAAGAAUCGGCAGAGGGAAAGAUCAAGUGCUUGACGCACCAAACAUGCGCAGGAUUCGCUAAUGCCUUUGCCCUGAGAAGAAUCCUAAACAACACACGCAAAGCAUGCGAAGAGGACCAUUUACUCGCUUCAUAAAAUCCAGCAAUAAACUCAUCAUCGUCUUCGGAUACCAAUCCUAUAGCGUAGCAAGCAUCUUUGAAUGUUGAAUAUUGAACACCGUUGACGGUCCUAAGAUCAGAAAAACAAAACGCUCCUCUUCUCACCUUCAACAAAAGUCUUAAGUAAUAAAGUUCACCAGAUGACAAUGGACAACACUGCAAGAGAAAGACUUGCGAAGUUUGAGAUAAACGGCGCCUCCAUUUUGAUUGUUUACGAUCCCAAACCCAUUCCAAAGGGAAUUGAGGAUACGUCAAUUCCCUUGCUUCAGGAUGAAGACGAUUACAUUCCAUCCAAGCUUCCAAUUUACUCUUCUUGCCCAAACCAGACGUUUCCUCAUCAUCUGAGAACGAUUGCGAUGGUGGAGGGAGGUGCACAGGUAGGAAUGGAACCCCUAAUCAAUGUUAAUAAUAUACAUAUCAAAUAUAAACGAUUAAACGUUUUAACCAAUAAAAAUAUGAAAGCUUAAGAUAGGUGCUGAUAAAUAACAAAUACCAGUCGAAGACAUAUUCCAAGAAAAUUAUAUAUGAUGAAACACUGACUAAGAGUAUCCUGAAAAGCACAGAGUCAAGAGAUCAGCAAGUACAAUAUGGCAAAUAAAAAAAAAAAUUACAUACAAAAAUUUUAAUAUAAGAAUCAACCAACAAAGAAAUACAAGAAACACUAAAAGAAGUACAUAUAAAGAAAAUACAUUAAAUUAUAGCUAAAAAGAUUAUAAUAGAAACGAUUAGGUUAAGAGAUAAGUAAGUAUACCUACAGGAGUUCUGAACGUGUAUAAGCAGGCCGACAUAAAAUACAAAAAAACAAUAGUGAUCGGACAAAAAGCAACAUAGUGUUAGUUUUAAGCUAGCGACUGUAAACCAAUAAGGGUUAUACGAAACAACAUAAAAAGAUCGUAUAAAUACACUUACACGAUACGAUGAAUGAAAAGGAUGAAUGUGUGAUUGGGUACACAAUUUCAAUAUCCUCUCAAGCGGAUGAACCUACAAUAUGAAACCAACAAAACCAAAAGAAAAACGAAAAGCAAACAUAAAAAAAUUUGAAAUCAAAAACCAAAACGAAAUAAUAUAAAACAUGCGGCUAACAGAACUUACACGAGAUAAUCGAAGAGGAAGAAUCAAAUAGCACUUCAAUAUCAUUCUCAAAAGAUCAGCGUGCGCUCUUAGAUCCAGUAUCGUCCUCAAAAGAUCUGCCUACAAUAGAAAGCAACAACAACAUCAAAAUUAAUCCAGAGAAAAAAGCAAGCAAUAUAUAAACACAAAUCAAAACGCCGCAGAACACAAACAAAUCAAAGAAAAUAUUGCAUAUGAGAAAGUUUAACCAAGGGUUCACUACAAGAAAACAAUCGUUUUCCAACGGUCCAUUACGACGGGUUUCAAACCGUCGCAAGCUUACAACGAUUUUACGACGAUCUUACGUCUAAUUUUAAAACCGUCGUAACACCGUCGUAUAAAAAAAUCGUCGUAAACUCGACGUACAAUUUACGACGAAUUACGACGAUUAUACAUCGAUAACGAGAGAUUUGCUAGAGAAUGUAAAAUCAUCGUAAAUUCGAUGUAAAAUUACGACGAAUAUACGACAACUUCAUUUCGAUGUACAUAUUACGACGAUUUUAUGUCAAAAAGAAGUUAGGUGGAAAACAUUUAAAACAUGUUUACCUAACAAUUGCAGGGGAAAGAUUUUAUCGCAUAAUCGUCGUAAACUCGUCGUAAUAUUAUUUUUGAAUGUAAAUUCGUCGUAAAAUAUCGUCGUAAAAGCGUUGUAAAGCCCGAAAUUUUCCUAUAAAUAAAUCUUCAUUCCUUCUUUCAAUCACAAGACAUCAUCAUUCAAACAUAAGAGCACAAAGAGCCUAGCUUUCUUGGUUUGAUGAGUGAGUAACAACUUCUGAGUUGACUUGGAAGGUCUCUUAAAUUUUAGUAUAGUGUUGUAAAUCCUUAUAUAUUGGGUUGUCCAUUGCUGGAAACCCGAAUUCAGAGUUAUAUUACUUUGAAAAAGAAUUAAUAAUAUUAUAAGGGUAAUUUACUCCAUUCACGUGGCUAGACGUGACACAAUUGUCUAACCAAUAAAAAGAGAUAGUAUUUUGAGUUUAUUUUCAAGAUGUCUAUAUACGAGCUAAGAAGUUGGAUGUAUAUGCGUAAAGAUUCAGAUGGGGCAUUGACAGAAGAGUUCAAGAACGGGUUAGAAAUAUUUAUGUUUCAGGCUACAAAUAUGGAGAGAACGAAAGAUAGUGGAAAGAUGUUUUGUCCUUGUUUGAAAUGCAAGAAUACGAGGUAUACACUAACCAAAACCGUGUGGACGCAUUUAUUAAAUAGAGGGUUUAUGCCGCAAUAUUUUGUUUGGUAUCUACAUGGAGAAGGAUAUGGUAGUAAUACUCAUGCGAAUGCUGGUAGUAGUAGUAAUUAUCAAAGUCAUGUUGAUAUUGAUGAAUCGAAUUAUGGUCAUCAGCCUAAUCAGUAUCAAUAUGAUCAAAAUGUAGAUCAUGAUAGGAUGCACGAAAUGGUGACUGAUGCAUUUCAUGAAACGCAUACUGGUAAUGCUGUUGAGGAACCUAAUGUAGAUGCCAAACGAUUUUAUGAUUUGUUAGACAAUGCUAAUCAGCCAAUCUACGAAGGAUGUAGAGAAGGCUUGUCUAAAUUAUCGUUGGCAUCUAGGAUGAUGUCAAUUAAAACAGAUCAUAACCUGGCUGAGGUUUGCAUGGAUGAUUGGGCUGAUCUUCUGAAGGAGUAUCUACCGGAGGAUAACUUGGCAGCGGGAACAUACUAUGAAAUUCAGAAGUUGAUUUUUAGUCUUGGUCUACCUUCUGAGAUGAUAGAUGUAUGUGUUGACAACUGUAUGAUUUUUUGGAAAGAUGAUAAUCAGCUGGAGGAAUGUCGAUUUUGCAAAAACCAAGAUACAUGCCGCAAACUGGUGGGCGUAAAAGGAUACCGUACCAACAUAUGUGGUAUCUCCCUAUAACUGAUAGGUUAAAACGGCUUUAUCAAUCUGAAAGGACAGCUGCAUCAAUGAGAUGGCAUGCAGAACAUACACAAGCAGAUGGAGAAGUUGUUCAUCCAUCAGAUGCAAAGGCAUGGAAACACUUCAAUAUGGUAUACCCAGAUUUUGCUAAGUUCAAACAGAAUGUCUAUCUUGGUCUGUGCACUCAUGGUUUUAGUCCAUUUGGUAUGUCUGGUAGACAAUAUUCAUUAUGGCCAGUAAUCCUAACUCCUUAUAACCUUCUUCCAGAUUUGUGCAUGCAAAGGGAAUUUCUUUUCCUAAGUAUUUUGGUUCCAGGUCCAAAUCAUCCGAAGCGAGCUCUCGAUGUAUUUAUGCAGCCACUCAUACAUGAGUUGAAUCAGUUAUGGUAUACUGGCGUUCGUACAUAUGACUGUUCUACGAGGAAAAAUUUUACUAUGCGGGCUGUGCUUAUGUGGACAAUAAGCGAUUUCCCCGUUUAUGGUAUGCUAUCAGGAUGGACUACACAUGGGAGGCUAUCUUGUCCUUAUUGUCUUCAUCGAACUGAUGCGUUUCAGCUAAAACAUGGUAGAAAAACUUGUUGGUUUGAUUGUCACCGGAGGUUUUUACCGGAUAACCAUCCAUAUCGGUGGAACAAGAGGUUAUUUAUGAAGAACAAAAGUGUACAUGUCCCUCCACCCGUUAAUUUAACAGGAGCUGAUAUACAUGCGCAAAUCGAUCAUUGGAGGGCAGAGGAAACAGUAACGCGUGGGGGAAACUGGCACACUCCUGCCUGAAGGUUAUGGAGUUCAUCAUAAUUGGCACAAGAAAAGUAUCUUUUGGCAACUACCUUAUUGGAAAGAUCAUCUGCUCAGACACAAUCUUGAUGUCAUGCACAUUGAAAAAAACUUUUUUGAUAACAUCAUGCAUACAGUUAUGAACGUAGCGGGAAGAACAAAAGACAAUGGUAAGUCAAGAUUGGACUUGCCUGAUUUAUGCAACAGAAGUGAGUUGCAUCUACUGAGAAACGGAAAGCACCAGUUCCUGUAUUUCGGUUGAGUGCAGAUCAAAAGUCAGCAUUGUUCAGAUGAGUUUCUUCUGACGUUAAAUUUCCUGAUGGGUAUGUCUCUAAUCUUUCCAAAUCUGUUGAGAAGGGGGUAAAUUUUGAUGGGAUGAAAAUCCAUGACUGCCAUGUGUUUAUGCAACGUUUAAUGUCCAUUUGCAUUUGCUCAACUCUUGCCCAAAAACGUCCAUGAAGCUAUUGGAGGCAUUGGUGCUUUUUUUCGGGAUCUUAGUACAAGAACAUUAUCAGUUGAUGUAAUAUCACAACUGGCAUUGAAUAUUCCAAUCUUGUUGUGCAAUUUGGAAAAGAUCUUCCCACCAUCAUUUUUUGAUGUUAUGGAACAUCUUCCUGUUCAUCUCCCACACGAAGCAGAGCUCGGUGGACCCGUUCAGUACAGGUGGAUGUAUCCGUUCGAGCGUUUCAUGAAGCAUCUUAAAGGUAAAGCCAAAAACCUAUCUAAAGUGGAAGGCUCAAUUGUGGCGGAAAGCUUGACGCAAGAGACUUCACACUUCACUUCAUACUAUUUUGCACCGAAAGUACGAACACGCAAAAGAGCUACUCGUCGAUAUGAUGAUGGAGGAGUUGGCCAUACAUAUGCCGUUGAAGGUGUACCUGACAUAUUCUCGCCGAUCGGACGUCUUAGUGGAAAACUAAAAGAUGUUUGGUGGUCCAAUGAAAAAUAUUAUCACAGUGCACAUACGUAUAUCCUGUUAAAUUGUGAAGAGUUGUCAUCGUAUGAAAGGUACUUUUUAAUUAAUAAUAUCUUUAUAUGAGUUGUCAGUAUUAAUAACUAUUUGUUGUUUUUCUCAGCACAUUUGUUGAUGAGGUUAAAGAAUGCAUAUCUGGGGUUUCUGAAACUGAAAUCAAUGAUCGUAAAGAUCAACACUAUGCCCAGUGGUUAAAAGGACAAGUACGUAUAAAAUUAUAAUUAAAAGACUACUUUAAUUUGCUAUAUAUCCAAAUCAAGAAAUUAAAGCGGAAUUUUUUUCUUAUUAGGUGGACCCGAAUGAUCUGGAUGAAUUUCCAACAUGGUUCCAUGAGUUAUUACUAGGUCCGAUGGCAAAAAUAACUACAGCCUCAAUGUAUUUACUCGGGGCUAUGUUUUUCACACAUACCGUCACGGUGCAAAGCGGGCGACAACUAACUAUGGAGUUUGUGUGAGGGGUGAAAUCGAUUUUUAUGGAGUUCUGCAAGAAAUAAUUGAAGUAGAGUAUCCUGGAUGGUUAAGGCUGAAAACUGUUCUCUUCAAAUGUGAUUGGAUUAAUCCAACUGUUGGAAGAGGGGUACGCCUAAACAAGUUUGGAGUUGUUGACGUGAACAAAUCACGACGGUACAACAGGUUUGAGCCAUUUAUAUUAGCUUCUCAACCAGAACAGGUAACGUUUCUGCCAUACCCUCGAGUUCGAUCAACAGGAAUUUCAUGGUUAGCUGUAGUUAAAGUGACUCCGAGGGGCAAGAUUGUAGGGGUUGAGGAUGUUCCACUUCAACAGGACACUUGCGUAGAUCUGUCUGAACCAGAUGUUGAUGAGGAGAUUUUCUUAAUAGACCCUCGGAACAGGCAAGUUGAAGAUCUUCCCGAUGAUACAGAAGAAGAAGGUGAUGAUGAGUUUGCUGAAACCGAUGAUGACGAUUUAGCGGAAGAAGACGGUGAUGGUGAUGAAGUAAUAGAGGGAGAUAAAUGUUUGUUAUUAUGUAAUUUGUAACUUUGUUUGUUUGAAUUUUUUAAAAACCCUAAAAUUCGAUUUUACGACGGUUUUAUGACGGUUUUUCUAAACCCUAAACCCUAAGUCUAGGUUUUAAGCCCUGAAUGAAUAGGGUUUCAACAUUACGACGUCUUUACGACGAACCAUCGUAAUAUCGUCGUAAAGUUACGAAGGUUUUACGACGAGUACACUAUUUCAUCGUAAAAUCGUCGUAAUGUUGAAAUCCAAGAAUUUGAAUCUUUUAUAUCUUAUUGGUUGUAAGGUAUUUCACAAAUGUUUUUGAUUGGUUAUCUUAUUUUAUAUGAAAUGCUAUCAAUCUGAUCAAAAUCAAAAAUUUGAAAAAAAACAUACAUAUUUACAAGUUCAUGCAUGUUUUCGUAAAUGUUAAGUGAAAGGUUAUAUAUUAGAUUACGGAAUUUCAAUUUUUACUAUCUCAUGUCAUAAAUCCAUCAUGCAUGCAAAGUUGUAAACCUUUUGUUAUAUGUUAGGAUACAAUAACCUUUGCAUUGUUCUUUAUGCAAUAUCCCAUUUAUAAGAUUUAGGGUUUACUCACUUUUUUAAAAAACUUCGUAAAACCGUCGUAAUAUAAUCGUAAAUUUACGACGGUUUUACGUCUAAGUUCUCUAAAACCGUCGUAAAACCGUCGUAACGUUUGCACCGGAUAGGCUCUCGAUCCGAGGUACGAGGUUAUAAAUGUUUAGAUGUUACGACGAUUUUACGACGGUUUUGGGUAAAAUUGUCGUAAAACCGUUGUAACGGUCAAACGCUCCCCUCACGACACGUGUCAUGUCAUGCAGUGGACCGACUGUUAUACAACCGAAUCGUCGUAAAAUCGUCGCAAAGUUACGACGAUUUUACGAUGAUCACAAAAUCUAUAUAAGGGACGCGCGUCGCGCAUUCCUCUCUUCUCCCCUCUCUCUCUACAAUACUUUCUCUCUCUAAACCCUAAACCACUCCCUCUCUCCCUACUCUCCCAGCCAAUACUUGUAAGUUUUUUUUUAAAUUAAUUUCAUUACAUAUUCUUUUAGAUUUAGGUUCGGAAUUUAGAUUUAGGUUCAGAAUUUAGAUUUAGGUUUCGGAAUUUAGAUAGGCCCGGAUUUUGUAAAUUUAAAUAAAUAUUUGAAAAAUUAGUAACAAAUUUUUUUAAAUUUUGUAGAUUCUGUCGAUAUGGCUCCUCGGGCUAAGAGAUUUCACUACCGACAGCUGGUCGAUUCUGACGGUACGGCCCCGUCUACCUCGGCGACCGGAUCAGCCAUCCCGGAGUCCUCAGGAACACAACGGACGGUUUCCCAACCGGUCGUUGUACCGCAGCCGGCACCACCUCCACCACCACCAGCCGAACCAGCGGCUCCCGCACCGGCCGAUCCUGAGGCUGAUCCAAUCCCGCCUGUACCGUAUGCCCAGUUUACGGUACAGGAUCUUCUGGCACAGCCGGGUCGUAAGACCAUGAACAAACUCGACCCAGAUCGAGCCCCGAGCACAUUUUGGUACGUAAUUUUUUUCCAACAAUAUUUUUACAUUAAUUAAUAGUUAUUUUUAUAUAUUUGAAAUUAAUUUACAUUUCUUUUUCUAUUUGACUAGGUUUACGACCGACAAUGCUGUCGGUCGUAACGUUGCGGAUAUCAUCAAGGGGUUUUUCGUACAACCCCAUACCAGCUGGAAGAAGCUGGAUCAGGCCACACUUGACACUUGGUUCAAGUGUUUUGCGGUAAAUAAUUUACAAUUUCGUUUAAUUUUAAUUUUAAAUUUUAAAUUUUUACAAUAAUUACUAACUUCUUUUUUUCCUAGCAAAACUGGCAUUGGGAAACAUCCGCACACGGACGUGUGGAGACGGCCUUCAAGGAGAAGGUCAAAUUUCGCCUCAACAACACCGUUUCCGACUGGAAACGGAAGUGGGAGGUUGACGGCGACAAGGCCAAGCCGGCGCCUAUGGCCAAUACCGUCUGGCGGGGCCUUGUCCAGUACUGGUUAGAUCCGCACAACCAGACUACGGCCGCCAAUUGUUCUGUAUCUAGGUAAGUAGUUAAUUCCAAUAAUAUUUACAUUAUCUGUUUUCAUUAAUUCUUAUAAUAGAUUCUAAUGAAAAUAUUUUUCAGGAACGCUACUGACGAUGCGGGAAAUCGGAAGAACGUUCUGCACACUUCCGGCCAGAUUCCUUUUGCCGGAAGACGGCUUAUGAUGGUAAGUAAAUUAAAAUUACUAAUUUUUUUGUUUUCAAAUAAUUAACCCUUAUUUGUCGAUACUAAUUUUUUCAUUUUGAUUUUGUAGGUCGAAGAUAACGGAGGAGAACUUCCUCCGAUGACAAAGGUUUUCGCCGAGACGCAUAAGAAGCGGAACGGCGAAUUCACGGAUCCUCGGGCAGAGGAGAUCUACAACGCCGCUUGUGCGGCGAUCGAGGAGUGACAGACGCAGCUGACUCAGCAGGCGCGUCAAACGUCUCCCGGAGGUAGCUCGGUCCAAUCGACCCCGGCGCUGACGGUGGCGGAGAUGGACCAGAUCUUCGAAGAAGUAAAUUUAAUUACUAUAUUUAAUUAAUGUAACUUUAUUUUUAAAUUGAAUUUCUAACCAUAAUGUUUUUAAAUAUUUGUAGGUUGCCCCAAAGAAAAAAGGGCGGGUAUUAGGGAUGGGAUUCAUCCGUGAUACCCCGAGAGCUACGGUGACUGGUCACGUCCGGGUCCCGUAUCCGGUUAUCCGCCAGGAGAUCGAUCAGAUGUGGACCCGUUACGAGACGAGGAUCGACCAGCUCUACGGUCUCUUCGAGAUCAUGGGAGCCGACAACCCGGUGCUCAUGGCGCAGUUGGACAAGCUGCGGGCAGAUGGGGUUGUCGGAUCGUCUGCCGCCGGGUCAUCCACUAGGACGCUACCGCCGGUGCAGACGGACGAGGAGAUGUUCCGAUCUCUCGGGGUUGAGCCUCCUAGAGCCGGAGAUCAGGCGCCGGCGGAAGCAUCAAACCGAAUACCCGGCAAGGAACACGUCCAGGACGAUGGGGAGGAGGCCGGUGACGGGAUCGACGAUAUAGAUUUAGAUUUAGAUUUAGAGCUGUAGGUUUUUAUGUAAAUUACAAUUAAUUUUAAUUUGAAAUUUUAAUUUCAAAUUUUAAUAAAUUUUAAUAAAUUUUAAAUUGUAAAUUAUUUUUUUAAUUUAAAUUUUAAUUCGAAUUAAUUUUUUUUUAAUUUUCAAUUAUAUUAAACGUCGUAUAAUCGUCGUAAUAUCUUUAUUAAACCCGUCGUAUAUUCGUCGUAAAUAUUACGACGAAUUUACGACCAAAAUGUACGACGACAAAUACGACGAUUAUACGUCUGUGCUUUACGACGAUUUUACGACGAAAUAAUUAAAUACUUUACGAUUGAUUUACGACGAUUUUUGCGUCGUACAUUUUACGACGAUCUUACGUCGACCAUUAACGACCACUUAACGACGGUCCAGGCGAAGACCAAGUCGACGCAAUUCUAUGUAAAAUCGUCGUAAACUGUACGACGUAUUUACGACGAUUUUGUUUCCCUCGAUGUUACGACGAAACGAAACCGUCGUAUAUUAUACGACGAUUUUACGACGAUUUGUCUAUUACGACGAUGACUUUACGACGAUUUCGAAAUCGUCGGUAGGUCGUCGUAAUAGCCUAUUACGACGAAAUAACGACCAUUUUGGCCGUUGUAAAAUGAUGUUUUUCUUGUAGUGGUUUAUCUAAAACGAUAUGAAAGAAUGAACGUAUGAGACUUAUUUAUAUAAGUGUUUAAGAUUAGGGUUUAGGUCGGUAGUAUUUCGUUUAGGUCACGUAAAAUAUGGGCCGUGAAUAUUUGUAUGGGCUUACGAUAUUCAUUUCCUCGAGUUUGUUUAAAAAAAUUUAGUUAAUAUAUCCAAAAUUAAUUAUUCUCAUUAAGGGGUAAGAGGUAAUUAACCAGCUGAAACUCAAUGAGAGACAUCCAUUGCUUAUUCUGAACCCUCUUUUAAUAUAUAUGAUAAAGUUAGAGCCAAAAUUGUUUUUUUUUUUCUUAACUCCGAUGGACUGAUGAACCGUUUAUUUGAGGUUGCCGUAGUUAUAGUAAAGAAAAGGAAAAGAACCAAAACUAAUUUUAUUAAAAAUAAUCAAUUUGAUAAAAUAGAGAUUAAACUCAGGAAAUAACAAAUAGUACAUGCAUAGAAUUUAGAACUGUAAGCUAAAUCAUAGACUUUGGUGGGAUCAUAUACCAAGGGGUACCAUCCACACUCAUAAAACAAUAACUUGUCCGUCUCCAAGACUACUAGUGGUUUGAGUGCCCAUAUGGGAUCCACCCCAAACCAGGUAGUACUUUUAUAGAUCUAUGGAAUAAAUUUUGGUCCAUGUCUUCUGAUCUGAAUCGAGCGACCAUAUCACUAGGUUGGGCCACUUAUUUUCGGAGACGCAUAAACGAUCAUCCAGGUUGCACAUGGCGAUUUUUUCUAUAGAGUCGUGGACGAAAUGUGUUUUAGAGAUGAUUUGAAAAGUUUCAGCAUGAAGACCGAAAGAUAAAAUCUUUGUUUUCACCCGAGUCCCGAGCAGUGAACCAAUGAAGUGAUCCAUCUAAAUGUAUAGGAUAUUGGCGGUGAAGAAUCAGAUAAGGGGACGCAGGGACAACAUAUCUCCAAGCGUUUGUGGUAAAAUCAAAAACUUGGCAAGUAGGCCUAAGACAUCAGAAUUGUAUAACCAAACUGGCUUGUAUGUGUCAUUGAUUUUGUCUUUACCAAAUCCAGGAAAAGGUUCAGGGUUCUUGUAUUUUAAAGACACUAGCUGAUAGUUACAUGGAGGUAGUGUUCGAUGCCAUCGAGUGGUGGGAUCGAUGACGAUACUCGAUUCACGUGAAUCGUAGAGGUAUAUCAGACCGUCACAGCUACUAUUGCAAACGUUGUAAAACUUGUUCUCCCAAGGUGUAGGGAUCUUAACAGAAAGAGAUGGCCCUAGCACCAACGUUCUCAAAGCAUCAAUGUAAGGAUCAUUAACAAGACAAUCAUACACGUACACCAAAAGUGGUUCUGGAUCUCCUGAUUGUUUACGAUGGAGAAGAUGUCUCUUUUUGAAAGAAGCGGAUUGGAUAGUAGAUUUCCAAUGCUUCGACACAAAAUUGAACUUGAAGAGGGUUUUCACAUCAAGUCUCUCCAGAAUCUGCUCUAUCACAGAGUAUGGUAGCCAGUCUAUAUUGUUCUAUCAAUCUCUGUGAAUGAUGAAGAGAUUGGAAAAAAAAUGACUAAUUUAUAAGAAAUUAUCUUAGCAUUAUUCAACUAGGAAUGGAAAAAAAAAUUUGACUAAAAAAGGAAAUGCAAAUUUAUUUGUUAAUUAUGAAUACGAUAUCUAAAAUAUCAAAAAAAAGCGGAUAUAAAAAAAAGGUCAGUUGAAAAAAGGAAAUAAAAUCUCAUAGGUUACUUUUGAAUCGAAGGUUAAUUAUGAUUCAAGUAAUAUCUUAAAACCCUAGCUCUUCCUCUUUUGGGCUUUGACUUUACUUUGGGCUAUGAACCACCAUCAUUUUUGAUUUAAGGUAAUGAAUAAAACAGAACUAUUCGAUCGACUUUGGGUGGGUCGCAGGUAGAAAAAACAAUUGGGUCACUUUAUUAAGGCCCAGUAACAGAGCACAAAGCGAAAAGUUUAUAGACAAAAACGGCAUGACGUUCAACUGUCUACCGGCGAAAUUACACGCAGUCAAUCAAAACUUCUUGAAAUCACAUGAGAUAUCGAGUAACGAAGAUACCUAUCAACCAAAAAAAAAAAAAAAAUCGAGAAACGACGAUUAUAACCGAAAGUUAUAAGAGAAAGAAGAGUCACGACUUUUCAAGAAACUUGCAGAACGUCCUUGCUCUUAUCCUCUCGCUAGUCAGUCCCUAUAUAUACGCAAAGUCACUAAGGCCUAAGAAUCAACAAAGCAACAAAAGAGCAAAGCCAAGCAAAAGAGAAUUAAAACGCCAAAAAGAGUGUAACGAUGUCUAUAAUUCCGAGCUUUUUUGGAGGCCGAAGAACAAACGUGUUCGACCCGUUCUCGCUUGACGUAUGGGAUCCGUUCGAAGGAUCAGGUUUGGCAAACGCACCCGGUAGAGACGUGGCAGCGUUCACAAACGCUAAAGUGGACUGGAGGGAGACACCUGAGGCGCACGUGUUCAAGGCGGACUUGCCUGGGUUAAAGAAAGAAGAGGUGAAGGUGGAGGUUGAAGAUGGGAACGUACUUCAGAUAAGCGGAGAGAGAAGGAGCGAGAACGAAGAAAAGAGUGACAAGUGGCACCGUGUGGAGAGGU
rnacentral:lncRNA from 1 species